rnacentral:lncRNA from 1 species
CUUUCUUUAUGGGCUGAAAAUUAUUUUCCUUUUGUUAGGCUUUUUCGUGCAAAAGGGCUUUGAUGACUCCAUCAUCAUUACUCCGAAGCCUGAAAUUCCGUCGACAUGUAGUCAGUCUCUAAACUAAUUGAUUUUUUUUUAUUAUUCGUCUUUGUGUGAUAUCAUCACUCACCCAUAGGCCAUAGCUUUAAUAUCUGUAAUGAUUCUCGAGGAAGGGAUCAUCUUGGUCGAAGAAGAGUCAACAUCAUCUUCCAUCGCUCGUCUCUUGUUUUGGUUUGGUUGGUGAAGAUUUGUCCAAGAACAACGACAAAGCAACAUAUCAAACGCAGAUUUGUCCAAGAACAACGACAAAGCAACAUAUCAAACGCCGAACAAUUUGGAGCCAAAGAUGGAUCAACAACGAAGUAGAAACUGAAGAAAAGAAUCGUAAAAUCAGAGAAUGAAAUUGCAUCUUUCUCAUUCUCUCUCUCUCUCUCUCUCUCUGUGUUUCUCUGGGUUUGUGAUGAUACUAGUAGACAGAGAGAAGAGAGGAUGCGCGACAUGUAUAUAUAGACUUUGUUGUUUCUCUGUGUUUCCUUUUUUUUUUGGGGAUUCAAAAUUUCCUUUUUUUUUUUUACUCUUUUCAAAGUUUCCUUUUUUUUAAUAGAUUCAAACGGUCUUUUGUGUUUGUAUCCUUUUUUCUAAAUAUCGUAAGAUUCUUUCUGCGAGAAAACAAAGCUUAUGUAUCUGUCUUUUUAUAAUCGUCUUGAAGGCAGCACUGAGAUGAGAUUUGGUGGGUUGAUAAGUACAUCGAACUUGGUAAAAGAAGAGAAAAUCAUAGUCGAAUCGGAUUCGGAUCUUCUCUGGACUAUAUCCAUCAAGAAAACAGGAAUUUCCGUACAAGACCAUACACCUUAGGGGCGACACUUUAGUUUUAUACGUUACUAUGAUAUUCAUGAUGCAUCGAAUUACUUCCAACAUUAUUGUGUUGAUUUUUUUUCACUAUACCAGCAAAUAAUACUUGUAUGUACUAAAGCGUUCAGCCAUAUAGCUGAGAAAAACAAUUUAUUGCCUUACCAAACAUCAGCUAGUGUGUUACUACAUUUGUACCAAAGAGUAAUUAUCAAAUCUAAAACAAACAAGUUUUACUUGGGUUCUUCUGUCCAUCGUCUCUUCAUUUCGGAUUUUGAUCUAACUUCUUUAAGAUUCCCAUCCAAACCAUAAUCCCUCUCCAUCACAAGAUUGAUUCCUUCAUCUGAAUACCAUCCAACUCCAAUGCACAAGACUCCAUCUUUCUUCACAUCCACGUAUGCAGUCACACCACCUGGUAGCCACAUCACAGACACAUCUUGCAUAUCUAUCACCUCUUCUUCUCCAAACGAAACCAAAGUUUCUGGUAAGUUCCUUCUCUUUAGAGCUUCUGUGCACAGGUACACAACUGGAGUGCUUUCACCUGGCUGCUCGAAUUCGGCUUCUUCUCCAUAGAUUGGAGUUGCACUUACUUCAAAUACUUUCCAUGAUCCUGUUAGUUCUGAUGGUUGCGUGCGUUUCCUCUGCGAGAAUGGUUUUAACUCCAAUGGUGCGUCGUUGUCACUGAGACAUAAACCGUUAGGGUCAGAGACAUACCGAAGAAGAGAAUGAUAUAAAUCAGAGGUUGGAGUUACCUUUGCUCUUCAUAAUUUGAAGGACUAACCCACUGUUCUUCAUAGACACCAACUCUCAUUAUCUGUAUAUCUGCACCACCAUUGGCGAAUUCUAUAGUGUGGACUACUCUCAGUCUCUUAUGGCAACCCUUCACCAGACACUGGACAAGAAGGAGCAAUGAGCCAUUUCUUCUCUCUUAAAAAGCAAAAAAACACAGACAUACCUGUUCAAACUUGAAAGUCGGUGUGAGGUAAUAGUUCGAUUCACUCAUUUCCCCAACAGGGAUUGUAACUGGACCUCUGGAAUACGAUCCAUCCUGCAUAUCAACCAAAUGGAAACAUUACAUGAUGAAACCUAGCCAAAGGGAGAAUCAGAGCUAAUCUAGUAGCUUCCAUGAAAUGUACAUACCUCGAAGUAAACGAGGCCGGGUUGAUCUACCAUGGAAUCCUCUUCCAUGACAUCACUUGCUUUCAAGUUAAAAGACUCGAACUUAGGCAAACGAGUAUCUACACCAGUCUGGUCAACCAAAAUCUCAUCUUUACUCUCAGAAAUUUGGAAAAACUCUCCAUGAGGAUUCAAAGUAACCCAAUUGAUCUUCCUCUGUAUCUCAGACUCUGUAUUAGCUCCACCAGAAGGAGGAGAUGGUAAAGCUUCGAUCCUAGAAAGAGUAUAACAAUCAUAAAGACUCUCAUUCUUCUUCCCAAUUUCAAUAGGUUCCAUCUCUGCAGUUAUCGGCGAGAACACAGCUCCUACACCUUUCCAAAUCCCACUUACACUACUCGCAAAUGUUCUCCAAACUGGUUUAAUCACAGGUUCCUAACAAACCAAUUUCAAUCAGAAAAUAGCUAAUUUUCGUCUUAGAGAUUGAAAUCUGAAAUCGAAACCUGAGUUUGAAGAACAGUCUCGGAUUCGAUCAACAUCGUCCCUGAAACCAAAACUCUGCCGAUUUUACCCUUUCUUCCUCCACCUAAUCUCUUCCCGCUUCUUCUUCCUCCCUUUGGCUUCACCUUACGCUUCUCCUUCUCCGCCAUUUCGUUGUCAACGCUCCAUAUAUUCUCUUUGUUACCUUUCAGAGUCACUUUCCCUUUGUUUCCCGCCGGACGGCUAUUUCCGUCGUUUGGUCUUGAUCCCUGCGCCACGAUUUUCCUCCUGUUGACAUUGUUUCGUCGCCGGAAAUUGCAGAUUGAAGGAGAUAACAGAGCAUUAUGAAAUCCAAAGCAAAGACUGUGGUUGUUACAUGAAAGUGGAGAAGAAGAAGUGAAGCUUUUACAGAGAUGAAGAAAUGGCGUUUGCAUCGUAGAAGAUGAUGAGAACGAAAGCAAAGUGACUUGAAACAUAUCGAUAGCGUUGAAACAAAGAUGAGUAUUAAAUGGGCCGUUAAUACAGUAUUAGGCCCAUACUAGACCGUUAAUACAGGCCUAGGCCCAAAAUAUUCAAUAUCGGCCUAAAUUGUCUAAAAGUAUGAUCCUAGAUGGAUGGAAAUAGGGAUCAAUAUAGCAUCUUUUUUUUUUUUUUGUAAUAUUUUGGGGAAGUGAACUUGUGAUUGGCUAGGAAGGUUACUGGUGAUCGACGUUUCCUUUAAGGCCGACAAAGUUAAUGGACCACGAGGAGUUUUAUAAAGUAGUUUUUCUUUCUUUCUUUCUUUUUAUAGCUUUAAAAGGUGUAAUGAUGACUUUUUCAAUCUCAAUUUUAAAAACAAUCUUGAUAACUUUUUUGAUUCAUAUACGUGCAUUCUGGAGAUCAAGACAUUGAAAUACGAACACACUAGAACGAAUAUUUCGGAAUAAGUAUGUUGGAAUAUUGAUGCAUUGGCUAAUGAAGCAUGACCAGACAAAGGUCAUUGGAAAGUAGGUUUCUUUUUUUUUUUUUUUGCGUAAAGCUAAAGGAAAGUAAUAAAAAUACAUUAAAAACGAAAUAUAUAGUGAUAUUAAAUACUUUAGUUGACAAAAUUGACAGCAGGAAAAACAUUACAUGAAGGCCAUAAACUAAGAGGUUUGACCAAAUCUGAAGGUAAAUCAGGUUUAAGAAUCAGAAGAAGAUAUCUAUUCCAACUGGUGCAACGGUUGUUGUACCCGUUGUAUCGCCCAUAGCUACAAGUCUAUUUAUUUUAGUGUUUAUGUAUGAUGAUAUAUAUAAUAUUUGAUAUAGAUAUGAAACUUUGUCGAACCCCCAUAAAAAAGAAAAGAUAUGACACAAAUAAUAUUUCUUUGUGUUUGCAAAUUGGUUUUGUAGUCAGUCAACAACCAAAGGUUUACUUGUUAAUUAUUCAGCGGAAGUCAUCUUUGAUGUUAUUCAUGCAAGAAAUACCAAAGAUUUUGUUUAUUCGCAAAUUGUCUGUCAAAUAUUUUAUUACGAAAUUAAAGAAAAAACAGUUAGGAAGUUUCGGUUUGAAAUUAGGUUUGAUAAUAUAGAUGGUGAAUCCAUAAUUUUUUUUCUGUUCAAGUGAAAAUCAACUCAUAUCCGAUACAGCAGUUGGAUAACCAAUAUUUGAUUUUUUUUUUUUUAAUAAGAUUGCGAUGACAUUAUAUAUAUGUAUAUAGUAAUAUAAAUGGCAAAACAAUAUGUUUCUUACCCAACUCAUCACGAUGUUGCACUGGUUUAAUAAGUUAUUUAAAAUUGAGGAACUAGAAUUCAAAGUUUUUAACUAAGAUCUCAAUUUUCUUCAAAAAAAAAACUAAGAUAUCAAUAAUGGUUGACAAUUGUGAAUGUUUGAAGUAGCUAGCCUAGAAUAGUCUGCUCUAGCCUCAACCCUCAAGUAUUAGUUUAGGUAUGGAAUAUGGAUUCUCCAAUUAUAAAAACAAAUAGAGAACAAUAUAUAUGUUAUAUAUAAAUUUAUAUUUAUGUAUGUAUGUGUAUGUAAUUCUUGAUAAUACAAAUAGAGAAAGCUUGCAGCUAAUACUUUGAGUUCAAGUAAAGGGUGGCAAUUAUCUAUGUUUUCUUGCUCCUUUCCUAGCAUGAAAGGAUGAUCGCUUUUUGUAGGUAAACAAAUUAUUUAUAUUCAAUGUUUGGGAUCGAUCUAGGAAAAACAGAUGUAGAAAUCAAAUUACAAAAUUUAUUUAGUUGGACAGAGAAAAGAAUGUUCUGAGAAGGAGUCAAUGAUGUGGUCGCCUAAAGUUUGUAUAGUCUUAAGCUAUGAAUAGUUGUGUACCAUAAGCUCAAGAAAUAUAGAGAUUGCAACAUUUCUUUUGAAUGAAUGAUAGAGACUUGUUUCUGAAUUCUCUUGCUGUAAAUGUAACAUUUUCAAAAAUUUCAUAUAAAAGCUUAAAAGAUCUCCUUGUAGACAUGUCACAUGUGUUGGAUGAUUGAUUUACAAUCUCGUGGACCAAAAAAACAAAGAGUGUAAUUAUACGGAGGCCGGCUUUAGUUAAACUUCACCCAUCAUAACAACAUAUGGCCCAUCCCAUGUCAUAACAACAUAUGGCCCAUCCCAUGCCUAUUGCAAAUGUCGCAGACCGGCGCGUGAUGAUUUACAUAAUUUUGAUUUAAAACUCAGAAAAAUACAUGAUACAAUACGUCAAAUUGCAUGUACAUAUAUUAAUGGUAGUUGAAAGGAAAAAAACAGAGGUAUACAAAUAAAUCGAGCGUCCUCCAAGCAUGUAAAAUAUAAUUAAAAUAACACCUAUAAUUUGUUGCAAAAAAAAUAAAGAAUGCCCAAAAACAAUUUCCAUUUAUUUUGUUCUACCAUAUUACGACAAAAAAAAAAAAAAAAGAAUAAAAGUGUUUGACUUAAGGAGCCAAAUUAAUUAACCAAUGCUUAAUGACCUAACGAACCAGUCACUUUUCUUAAUUUUCCGGUACGACUUGUGACGGCGACGCUGAAAACGAUUGAAGUACACGCGCGGGGUCCUCCAGCCUAAUUGCCACCUGUACACCAGCCCUGCCCGUCGUUACAAUUGACGUAACUAUAAAAAUCUCAUUUUCCUUUUUUAUUUUAUUUCUAAUCAAAAAAAAAUAAAAGAAACGGCAAAAAUUUAUACUGAAAUCUUUUUUCUUCCUUAUUCUCUCAUUCCGCUUGAUUUCGCCGUCCGAUUAUCUCAAGCGCCGAUAAAAUCCGGCGGCACUCACUAGAUCUUGAAACCAUAGUUUGUUUCUUGCUCAAGAUUCUUGAGGAUUCUCUAUAACUAGUUUCGAAGUUGAUCGCUCUUUGGUUUGAGUCCUCGAUUCUCGACGGUGAUUGAAUUCUUCUCUUACUUUCUUUUUUUUGGUUGUUUAAGUUCGCUGUAUCAAUCGCGACGUUUUUGUGAUUCGCAUUGCGUCUGGAGUUGAUCAUGUACCGAUUGGUUUCUUAUUGAUUCGAUUGCUGAUGAAGUUAUCUGGUUUUGCAUUUGAUUGUUCGCAGGAUGGCGAUUCUGAGGUGAAUCUGAGGAGCGAGAAAAGAGAAAUCGAGAGAUGGAUGAUAGAGAAGGCUCGUUCGUAGCUGUCAGGCGGAUUUCUCAGGGUCUCGAACGAGGGAGCGUUUACAAUUCAUCAUCUGGUAAUUUCCAUCCUCUCUACAAUGGUGGUUGCAUUUUUUCUGUCUUUUGGGUGAAAUUUGUACUAAUGCGUUUUCUGUGAGCAUUGCUUGGUUUCUGGAUUCUCUGCUAUUGUUUUUUUUUUUUUUCAGAUUGUCUCUAGAAUUAGAGUACUAAUGCACUCAUUAGUACUUAACUUGGAUUCCAGUUUUUUGUCAAGGAGAAUGAUGUUAAACCCUUAGUAUUUGGUAGAUUUCGUAGUAUACUUGUCUAUAAGCUUUGUUUCUGUGUGCUUUUAUAGAAUUGUGAUGCUUAUAGGGAGUUUUAUGGAUUGGAAAUUUAGAUUAGUUAAUGAAACCAUUGAAGUUUAUUUGUUUUGUUAUAGCUGAGGCUGUGCCUGGAUCAGCAGCUUGGUUAGGCCGGGGUCUUUCUUGUGUUUGUGCUCAGAGAAGAGAUAGUGACGCAAAUUCUACGUUUGAUCUAACACCUGCUCAGGUAUUCAGUUUUUCACUGUUCGAGUUGGAAGUUUAUAUUUUAUUAUUUCCUACAUUAAGAUAACGUUUCUGUCCUCGCUAUAUUAGCUGGCUACUUCUAAGCGUAUCCAGGUAUACUUAUACCCUAUUGUUGGGACAUGCAGGAGGAAUCCUUGCAGAACUUGCAGAACCGCAUUGACGUAGCUUAUGAUAGCACAAUACCCUUGCAUCAGGUACAACUUCCUUGCGGGUUUAUAAGCCUUUAGAAUUUCUCAUUAAAACAGUUGACUUAAACCAUCAUUUGGACAUGGUAGAAUACUGCAUCUUUUCAUCCCUUGGCUUUUUUACUAUUAGCUAGCAUCAUAAAUUCAAAUGUACCAGCUUUGAUGAUUACUUUGUUGCUUCGUCAUACGCUCUUAGGAAGCGCUGAGGGAUCUGUGGAAACUUGCCUUUCCUGAAGAAGAGCUUCAUGGAUUAAUAUCUGAGCAGUGGAAAGAGAUGGGUUGGCAGGGCAAAGAUCCGUCAACAGAUUUUAGGUAUAACACUGACUUUCCUCUUCAUUUGUGUUAUAGUUAUUUCUUGUAUCUAUUUUCUCUUUGACAAUGCAUCAUCUGGCAGGGGUGGUGGUCUCAUAUCUCUUGAAAACUUGCUGUACUUUGCUAGGAACUUUCAGGUAUACCUAUAUACUACAUAUACAAAUGUUUUAUGAAAAGAAUGAGCUGCCUUUCCUUUAUAACUUUUACUUUCCAUGCACCAUAUAUUAUCGAUUACUCAUUGGCACUGCUUCACUUGUAUAUAUAUAUAUAUAUGUAUUCAUGCGUAAAGUCACGUAUGAUAUUUAUACCCGAUAACUCAUUUGUUACAGUUGUUCAUGACUUUACAUCUUAGUUCUUGCUGAUCUACUUUUGUCACUUAGUUCAAACGCCACGUGUCUUUAUGCUGCAGAAAUCCUUCCAGGACCUUCUGAGGAAACAGGUUGGGGAUCGGUCUGUGUGGGAAUACCCCUUUGCUGUUGCUGGUAUCAACUUAACAUUCAUGCUCAUCCAAAUGCUUGACCUUGAAGCAGGUAUACAUCCACAUGAAUUUACUUACCUACCAUGAUUCAUGAUUGUGAUAGUUGCUAUUUACCUACCAUGAUUCAUGAUUGUGAUAGUUGCUAUUUACAUCUGAAGCCAUAGGAUUGGGAAGCCCAUAACUACUAUAGAAUCUUCUUGCAUGCAUUAGGCAGCUGUCUCGUAUUGUUCAUAGUCUGUCAUUCUGAUAAUGAGUAAUGUAUUGAGGUAAUCAAUGGGUUCUCUGACAACUUAUCCUUUUAAAAUUUACAGUGAAACCACGAACAAUUGUUGGGGCAACUUUUCUGAAGUUUCUUUCUGGUAAUCUCUCACUUAUGCUGUUUUGUUUUCAUCAAAUUGAAAAGCCUUUUUAUUACACAUGGUCCUUUAAUCUGAUUUUGACACUGAAUGUGUUGGGUGUUUGUGUAAGCAGAGAACGAAUCUGCAUUUGACCUUCUUUAUUGCAUUGCAUUCAAGCUAAUGGAUCAGCAAUGGCUUUCAAUGCGCGCCUCAUACAUGGAGUUUAACGUAAGUAGUAGUGGUUACAAAACAGAGACAUUAGUUUGGUCAUAUAUACAAUACAUACCAAGAUGCCAUGUUGAUGCUUUGUCUUGGAAUAUUUGGAUGACACAGACGGUGAUGAAAUCAACAAGGAGACAGUUGGAGAGAGAGCUGAUGCUGGAAGACAUAAUGCAUCUUGAGGACUUACCCUCCUACGCUCUUCUCAAUCAAUAGCCUUUACGAUAAUAAUAAAUAGCAAGAAGAGUUUCUAACCUCAGAAUAACACAAGGCUGCGCUGCUUCUGCCUCUUUCUUUGACCUUUUCUUGUGUUUGGUGGUUCUACUUCUAAGUAACAACUCCAAAACCGAGUUGUUACUUGUUAUAUUAAAACAAGAAAUAGAGUGUGAAAGAGAGAGAGGUUGGGAUAAAUCUCAAUUUGGUUUGGUUGCAAAUGAGUGUGUAGCUGAAAUGGGUUUGUUUUCUAACAACGUUGAGGUUUUUUAGUUACUGUGUGAGUGAUUGAUGUUAGUGUGUGGGGGAUAAUAAUGAUUUGGUGAUGUCCACAAAUUCAAAAGCAGUCACUGUUAAAGGACUCUUAACAGGGGUUAAAACUUCAUUUGUUUGUGUAUUAAAAGUUGUUUUGAUUGUUUAUUGCUGUGAAUAUUUGUGCGUGGAUAACAGCAGAGAUGGCCUUUACAAGCAGUCAACAGAAUUAUUCGAUAGCAACAAAAUUAUUAGAUCUACAAGCCUACUACAAUCAACUCGCUUAUAGUCUAGAUUCUUCUUACACUCGUGACUAACUGAUAGAUAAUUUGAUAUUAUCAGAAAACUGAUUAGCUGUCACUAAUCUGUUAAAUUCACUUAAUUUACACAAUAAUCAUGUCGAAUACGAAUGGCUGACUGGCUCACACAAAAGCAAAAACUGGCUCCAACCCUUAAUUCAUUAUCCAUACAUUGCAAGCCAACACCAACGACUUCCCGACCACCACGUAGCUUAUUAGUCCGCUUGAUGCAUCAUUUGUGUGGAGGUGGUGGGGGUGGCGUGGUUGACCCUGAAUCGGCUUCGUGUGUUCCAUCAGCCGGCGGCGAUUCUGGGGUGGGAGGAGAGGAAGGGGAGGCUACGACCGUAAUGGCUAGCUUCAUGCCACCUAGACAGUUACCAGGUGUAGAACAGAUGAAAUACUUUGGUUCUACUGUCUUCAGAUCGAUUUUGGUGUCUCCUUCGGAGUGGUUCUCAGUCGCAGCCAUCAUAUCCGGCUUUGUUAACCACGUCCACCGAAUAUGUACAGGCCCGUACUUGAACUCUGUUUCAAACCGUUAUUAAAGAUUAUCAUUAGCAACUUCGUUAAAACGAAACAGAGUUUUCUUGUGCAAUAAGUUAUAAUAUAUACUAGUUAAAAAGAAACAGAGUUUUCUUGUGCAAUAAGUUAUAAUAUAUACUAGAGUAUCACCAAUCCUGAAAGUCUUUCCCGCAGCCCGAUCUGUAUAGUCCACGCCACUGGCCCAUUGACCAACGUCUCCUACCUUGUAAGUCACAGCGACUACAGCUGCUGUUAAAUUUGGGCUAAUUCUGGGCUUCCAACUAAAAACCAAUUGGCAAUUAGUGGAUUGGCCCUAACCCUUUAUAUAUUAUUGAUUGUCCCAUCAAACUUCCGAUGUGGGACUUGGAUUGUAUCUCCAACAGCUGCAACCAUCUUGGGCAAAACAAUUCAUUGCCAUGUUUUGGUUUGAAUGUGGAGAGAUAUCUUAAUUGAAGAUGGUUAAUAAGAGGUGGAAAGAUGGUGAUGGUUUAUAUACCAAAUGUAGGCGUGAGAAUCGACUAAUGAGAAAUUAAGCUUAAUUAAGGGAAUGUGUGAAAAGUCGCGUAGUUUGAGUGAUGUCCUAAAGGUCACUCUUGAUUAGGGGUCAAAUUCCAUUGGCAUUGCCUUGUGGUUUGUGUUCUACACAUCUUUUCUCAUGUGUUUAAAAUUUGGAUACGGAUUAAAGUUGUGAUUGACCAAGUACAUGAAUUUGGUCAUGCAAAGUUCUAAUUUCUUUUUGCUAAUCAUAUUUAUUGACAUGAAAACUCCACAUAAACAAGAGAUCACUUGUUCUUAGAAUGCUCUUUCACUCGGGUAAUCUGCGACAAGAUUCUGUCCAGGCUUGGUUUGCCACUGGUUUUGUUCGCAACCUGGGAUUCUCUGCUUCAAUGGACAAAGGCUCAGACCAGUUCCUCUCCUCCUACGCUUCGUCUUAUAAUUCUCCAUGCCUUGGUCUACUCGGUUUGGAGGCAGAGGAACAAUCUAAUCCAUAAUCAGAUUUUGAUCCCUCCGCUUAACAUCUUCAGAGAUAUUGACCGGCAGAUUAUCAAUAACAUCACAGCCAGAAAGCAUAUGAAGAAGUUUCGUAAUCUUAUAGGGCUCUGGUUGUACUAAGGGUCUCUUGUUUGUCUUCUAAAUCGUUACUGCUAGAAUUUGUGGUUUGUGUUUUGUUUUUUACUCCUUUUUUGCCAAAGCCCAAAGUAUAUAGGCCUUGUUUGUAAUGCCUACAUUUCAUUUUAAUGAUAUUUACUCAUUUUGUAAAAAAUCCAAUGCUACCGUGUCUCUCUUUUUGAGCUUCUCAUGUCUUUUUUUAUUUUAUUUUUAUUUUACAUAAUAUAAAGUCUUUAACAAUAUUUUUGUUAGAAGAAAAAAACGAACACCUAAUUUUGCCAUCAAUAUGAGGUUUCGACUUUUAUGAGUUCGGCCCAAAAUUGUUCAAAUAACCAUUAAAAAUAAUAAUUGCAAUAUACACAUAUCUAGAGUUUUAAAGUUAAAAGCUACAGAUUGACAAAAAAAAAAAAGUUAAAAGCUACAGCUAAUCGAAUACUACCUAUCCCUUUUUUUUUUGUCAUCUGUUAGUAUAUUUAUAUUGAAGAUGUAACCAACGAAUUACAAACUCAAAAGCUGCAACUUGAGACAAACCAAAGAACCAAAAAAUACUAAGCAGGCCUUUAUAGAAACAGGCCUUUACAAAAAACCUUCCAAUACUAGGAACCCGACUGCUGCACAAAAAGCCCAAAACAGAGGACUAGACUCUCUCAUCAAAAAACACAGAAAAUAACCAAAUCGGAUGACUAACUGCAACAUACGACUGUAACCGGCAAUCUCUAGUGACACUUUUAGCAAUGAGAGAGGCUCCUCUAUUGGCUAAAUUUUCUUCUAACACAAAUCUCCAAUCUUGAAUCACCCUAAGCAAAGAAAGCAGUUCAAAGGAUUGAUACCUGAAGGAAGGCCACGCAUUUGGCCUAAGAACCGCUCCUAUUAAUUCCUCAUUUUCCAGAGCAAAGAACACUUUGUUAACUCUAUGGCUUAUCAUACAUUCCAAAGCCCAAACAACACUUAACCAUUUUGCUUCAUCCCUAGAUCUGAUGUUUGUAAAAGCUCUCCUGCUAUGAAGCAAAACCUCACCCUUGUCAUCUCUAAGCACCCAAGCACAACCAACCAGAAAAUUCCUUUUAGACCAUGCCAUACCCACANNNNNNNNNNNNNNNNNNNNNNNNNNNNNNNNNNNNNNNNNNNNNNNNNNNNNNNNNNNNNNNNNNNNNNNNNNNNNNNNNNNNNNNNNNNNNNNNNNNNNNNNNNNNNNNNNNNNNNNNNNNNNNNNNNNNNNNNNNNNNNNNNNNNNNNNNNNNNNNNNNNNNNNNNNNNNNNNNNNNNNNNNNNNNNNNNNNNNNNNNNNNNNNNNNNNNNNNNNNNNNNNNNNNNNNNNNNNNNNNNNNNNNNNNNNNNNNNNNNNNNNNNNNNNNNNNNNNNNNNNNNNNNNNNNNNNNNNNNNNNNNNNNNNNNNNNNNNNNNNNNNNNNNNNNNNNNNNNNNNNNNNNNNNNNNNNNNNNNNNNNNNNNNNNAAGAGCCCAAAUCUGUCUAGAUAAAGAACAUGUGGACAAAACAUGUUCAAUAGAUUCUCCUUCAAAACCACAUGUUUGGCAUCUAGGAUCCGUCUUCAUACCUCUCUUCGCUAGUUUAUCAGCCACAGGUAGGGCACCACUUAGUACUUUCCAAAGAAAGACUUUGAUCUUUGGAUCUGUAUUCAAUUUCCAAACCUGUUCUUUCAAAGGAUUAAUUGAAGGAAGGAAAGAAGCAUGUUGCAUCACUUCAGUUUUGUUGUUCUCGACAGCUAACCAAUAAGCUGACUUCACCGAGAGGAAGCCGCUUUUGUUAUAUCUCCAAAUCCAAAAAUCUUGAGAGUCAACCACAGGUUUAACCUUUCUAAUAAUGGCAACAUCAUCAGGGAAAAACAGUUCCUCUAACUUGUCAAUGUCCCAAUCUUUCCUUUCAAAAUCUAUGAGCUCACUCACUUUAAGGCCCGGAUCAAUAAAAAGAUUUCUAAUCCAAGGAGCUCUUAGACCAUCCUCAUCAACCAUCCACCUAUCCACCCAAACCGUCAAGGAAGCACCAUUUCCAACCCUUUUCUGCAGACCUUUGUUAAGCAAAUCCCUGCCAUGGAGAAUGCUUCUCCAACCAAAAGAAGGACGCUGUCCUAAACACGCAUCAAGGAAAUGGCCAUCAGGAAAAUACCUGUUUUUCAUCACUCUUGAGAACAAACAAUCUGGGAAAUGCAAGAUUCUCCACGCCUGUUUUGCCAGCAAGGCUUGGUUAAAGAGCUGAAUGUCCUUGAAACCCAAACCACCUUUAUCUUUUGGUAAGCACAGCUUUUCCCAACUUAUCCAAUGAAUUUUCCUAUUAUGUUCAAGAGAACUCCACCAGAAUUCUGCCAUUGCACUCGAGAGAUUUGAGCAAGAAGUCUUUGGUAAUCUAAAACAAGACAUCGCAAACACAGGCAUGGCUAAGGCAACCGAUUUCAACAAAAUCUCUUUGCCUCCUUGAGACAGAAACUUAGAGUACCAACCAGAAAGCUUAGACUUGAGGCGAUCUUUGAUAUAAUCUAACAUUUCCACUUUUGAGCCACUAAAACACUCUGGUAGACCUAAGUAAGUCCCUGCUCCCCCCACAUUUUGGAUACCAAGAGAUUCCUGAAUGCAAAGCUUAAUGUUUUCAGUUACCUUAGAUCCAAAAGUAAUCGAAGACUUUGUGUGAUUGAUAGUUUGCCCUGUAGCAGCUCCAUAAACCUCCAAAAUCUUCUUCAACACCAAGCACUGAUCUUGAUUAGCCUUACAAAGAAAAAGGCUAUCAUCGGCAAAAAGUAGAUGUGUAAUGGAUGGACCUCCUUCAUUGAACUGAAUACCACUAAUCAGACCAUUUCUUUGAACAACAUUCAACAGGUAAGACAGACCUUCAGUGCAUAAUACAAAAAGAAAGGAGGAUAAGGGAUCCCCUUGUCUAAGCCCUCUUUGGGGAACCACCAUACCAAAGGGUUGGUCAUUUAUUAAAACUGAGUAAGUCACAGACGAUACACAAAACAUUACCCAGUUAAUCCAUCUUUCAUGAAAACCCAAAGCAGCCAGCAAAGAUCUCAAGUAACACCACUCCACUCGGUCAUAAGCUUUUGACAUAUCGGACUUUACUGCCAUAAACUCAGCAGAAAUAGCCGAAUGAGCAUUUAAACCAUGAACUAAUUCAUGAGCAACCAAAAUAUUAUCAGAAAUGAGUCUUUCAGAAACAAAAGCAGUUUGUGACUCAGAAACCAAACAAGGAAGAAACGGUUGCAGCCUCUUAACCAUCACUUUGGAGAUAAUCUUGUAUAAUACCGAGCACAGGCUGAUCGGUCUGAGAUCACUCAUUUCAGUCGGAUGAGGGAUUUUUGGUAAAAGACAAAGAUGAGUAUAGUUCCACUCCGAUGGAAAAACUCCAGAAACAAAAAACUGUCUAACCUCACAGCACACCUGCUUCCCAACAGUAUACCAGUAGUGUUGGAAAAACAAAGAAGACAUACCAUCAGCCCCCGGGGCGCUUGAAGGUUUAAUGGAGAAAACUGCUGCCUUAAUUUCUUCAUCAGAGACUUCUUUUACCAGACUGUUGUUCAUUUCUUCAGUGACACGAGGUUGAAACCCAAAAAACCAACUGGAGAAGCUGGCAGGAUUAGAAGAAGAGAAAAGCUUCUGAAAAUAAGCACAUGCUACUUCACCUUUAGCAGCUUCCGACUUUUGGAGAUUACCAUUAAUAUCCACUAGCUUUUCAAUUCUCUUCUUUGCUCUGUUUCCUUUGACUGUUGCAUGGAAAAACUUAGUGUUUCUUUCACCACAUCUCAUCCAUUUCGCUCUACUCUUCUGAUUCCAGAAAAUUUCCUCUUCUUUGUAAGCGAAAGACAGUUCUUUUUUCAGAAAAUGAACAUGAUUCAAGGUAGGAAGAGAGGAAGACUGUUCUAUCUCAAGAGCCUUUUCCAUCUGUUGGAUCUUAUCAUUAGCAUUGGUGCAGUUAGUCUUCUUCCAAGCACUUAAGGCCUUCCUAACAGCCCUCAAUCUAUCAGCCACAGAAGCUAAAGAUAUAGGGGAAUCAGGUCUCCAUGCACGGAUCACAGCUUCUUCAACCUUUGGUUUAUACAGAAACCUCUUGUCAAAUCUGAAUUGUCCCCUAUAAGUAUCCUGCGAAGAAAGCAACUUCAACAACACAGGCCUAUGGUCAGAUCCUCUGAAAUCCAAAAAGGUUUGGUUUGACACUGGAAAUUGAGCAAACCAAUUUUUAUUACCAAAAACUCUGUCAAGCCUACUCUGAAUCCAUAAAUCAUAUCUUUUUCCAGCCCAAGUAAAACUGUUUCCUUGACUGGGUAACUCCUCCAUGUUACACGCUCUUAGCAUCUCAGAGAAAGGCUUAAAGUAAGAGUCACACCUCCUAGGGCCACCAAGCUUUUCACCAUUGUGAAGAAUAUCAUUAAAAUCCCCCAACAUACACCAACCGUCUCUUCUUCCAACCCCUAUUCUACUAAGUCUUUCCCACACCAAUUGUCUUUUCUUAAAAUACUACCUAUCCCAAGUUGCAUUUGUUUAUAUAUCUUUUAAAUCACUAACAACUACAGUUUGAAUAUAUGCAUUGCUAAAUGCUAACAAUCAUUUCUUUUACGAAUUGAUCAUUUCUCUUGGUUGUUGAUUGAGCUUAUUACAUAAUUCAUUCUUGAUAACAUAUAUAUUAAAAUUAAACUAACUAAUCUACACAAUCUAUAUAGUCAUUGUAAACUAUGAGGGGAUGGUGGAUCACAACUGUACAUGUGGUUCCACACGAACGAAAAAUGAAAGGAGAAAUUAAGUAAUAAUUUAUUACAGCAAUAAGUGAGUAAUGUGAUGAUGAUAACGAUAAUCAAAUGCCGAAUAAUAAAAUCCUACGAAUAAUGAAGAGCUUCUGACGUAUCACACAUACCCAAAUUCUCUUACAACCAAAGACCAAAAUAAUUUAAAAAGCAAAAGCACUGACUCCACCCUGGCUCACUAAACCAAUUACAUCCACAAAGCAUAACCCAAAACCAUCGAGACUCCGACCAAAACGUAACUCAUCACUCCCUUUGACGCACCACUUGGCUUUGGUGGAGGAGGAGAAGUUGACCCUGAAUCAGGUGUGGGUGUGGUGGGUGAUCCGCCAGCCGGAGGUGAGUCCGGUGUGGUAGGAGUUCCCGGAGUUGUAGACGGUGGCGUGGGAGUUCCCGGAGUUGAAGACGGGGGCGUGGGAGUGGCCGGAGGUCCGGCAGAGGCGGCUAAGACAGUAGCGGCUAGCUUCAUGCCAUUGGCACAAUGACCAGGUGUAGGACAGAUGAAAUACUUUAGGAAUGGUUCUCAGUCGAGGAGGAGGCGUCGCAGCCAUCAUAUCCGGCUUUGUCAACCUCAUCCACCGAGUGUGAUCGACCAUACUUGAACUCUGUUUCAAAUCGCCAUAAAAAGAAUUCAAAACCUAAGUAAAUAGUUAUGCCAUACCUAAGAAGAUUAUGGGACAAUAGUCCGAAAUUAUUUGGUUACUAAAAAUGAGUUUUGUUGUAGAAUAAGUUAUCUCAAUUUCAACAUCGUAUAAAUUUGUAAAGAACUAAAACAAGUAAAGAAUUGUUUCUUGUCUUCUUCUUUUUUUUUUAACUGUUUCUAUAUUUAAGAACCUGAGACCAAAUAAACAAAAAAAAUCACACAUAUUUUCCUUUUUUUUUUGGUAUUACUAAAGCAAACUUAAUAUAAUUUGAAUCACCAAAACCAAUACCGUGUCAAACUACACUUGGGUUCGACUACGUUACUACAACUUUUGAACUAUAGCUUGAAUGAAUCUAUAUAUAAAUAAAAGUUAUAACUAAUGUGGUUCGGAUGAUGGUUUACCUAGAAUGUCACCAACCCUGAAAGUCUUUCCGGCAACCCAAACUGUGUAGUCCACACCACUGUCCCAUUGUUGACCGUCUCCCACCGUGUAAGUCACAGCUACUGUGGCCGGGACAAUGGUCAGGACUAGGAGAAGAGCAGUUGCGGCGGCUGCAGCCAUCUUGGACAAACCAUUCAUUGCCAUUUUUUUACUUAGAAGAGAGAUAUUAUUAUUGUUAAGGUUGUGCAGAGAAGAAAUGGUUAUGGUGUCAUUAUAUAACAAAGAGAUGUGAGAAGGACUUUGGGAAUUAAGUAAAUGGAAUGUAUGAAAAAGUCGCCGCCUCGCCAACUCAUUCAACAACUUCAUCCUCACUUUUUAUUUUUCGUUUUAAUUUUUUAUUCAUUUCUUUUGUUUUAAUACGUUGUCAUGAUGCGUAACAACUCUUUGUUCUUAUACAUUUAAACUAAAAAAAAUGGAUAAUUAAUCGUAUAGCUCGAUGGCUUUCUUUGAUGUAAAUUAUAUAAACCCAUCACCCUUAUGAGUUAUGCGUGGAUUCUUCUUAUUUGGUUUUUUUACCGAAAAGUGUGCUGAGAACAUGGGUUUGUUAAUAUGACUAUAUAGUGUAAGUAUGAUCCAAAUAAUGUAUAUGAUCAUAUGUAUUUAUUACUCCCUCUGUUUUUUUUAAGUUGUCGUUUUAACUGUAUUUGGACAAAUUAAGAAAAGGUAUACNNNNNNNNNNNNNNNNNNNNNNNNNNNNNNNNNNNNNNNNNNNNNNNNNNNNNNNNNNNNNNNNNNNNNNNNNNNNNNNNNNNNNNNNNNNNNNNNNNNNUGACUAUAUUAACCUCAUAAAAAUGACAAGUAAUUAUUUACAAAUAAUUUGUGUUCAAUAAAAUGAGGGUAAUUUGGGUAGUUAUUGGCAUAAAUUACAUUAUUACCUUAAAACGACAACUAAUUUAAAACAAAAAAAAAACUGUAAAACGACAACUAUUCGAAAACGGAGGGAGUAGUUGACAAAAAAAUUGUAUUGUAUUUGGUACUUAAUUAACAUGUUAUAGAUUCUGCAGGUGCCAAGAUUCCUUAAUUUGUAGCAAAAGAUCAGCUACAAUUCAAAUUUUUUUUUCUUUCUGAAAACAAUUAUUUUCAUGUAUUUACUCAAAAAAAAUUCAAAUCUAUGAGUUCAUAUAUAUAGUAUUUUUUUUUUAGUUUUUAAUUUGUUGAUGUCUAAUUGGCAUUGUUAUAUAUUUAAGAUAUUUCCCACCCAAAAACAAUUUUUUAUUUCUUAUAUUACAUUUUAUGGAGGUUUUGUGUGGAUAAGUUUGUAGGUUUGAACAAGAUUUAUUUGUUGAAUCGCACAAAAUACAUGAAAGCUUUUUAUGAACAAAAUCUCAUUAUUGAAUAAAUGGAAGUUUGUUUGGUGCAAUUAGCAAGGUGUUGACCAUUGACUAAGUUCCAUAUUCAAAAGUUGUCAGAUUGGAAAAAAUUGUCGAAGGCAUUGGGUCAGAUUAAUUGCACAGAAAAAAAAAAGAUGAACAGAGAUAUUCGAAAUCACAUCCUAACUCUUUAAGAAAAAGAAAAAAAAUGUUAUAAAAUUGGAGAUUAGGUAAUAUGAUAAUAGUAGGAAGAUGCCUAACACGUUCUAAGGCCAUUCUAAUAUGUAUAUAUUUGUCAAUGAUCAAAGAUGGGUAUAGAUGUUAGGUGAAACAAAUCUUUACAAUAUUCGAAAAGAUGAAUACAUACGAAAAAAACAACAAUUUUGAUAAGUAACUCGUAUAUAAAAGCGAAAUGGUCAAUGAUAGAACAAGAACCAAAUAGUAUAAUCACUAAGCUAUUAAUUUAUUUGACCAAAACAUUAAACAUAUUUUAGGAGAUCGGAAGAAAGAACAGAAUUCAGAGGUGGCUUCUAGAGGCGGCUCAGACUAGAGCGUGCCAUGUUGAGCUUUGAUAAUCAUUAUCGUGUCAUGCAAAAAUCCCAAAUGGUGAGACAAAACUGUAUUACAAGUAGUUACAACAACAACCCAAAGAGGAACCAAAACCUAAAGACUAUUAGCUUCAAAGGAGGGGAAAAAAAAACUUAAAAGAAUAGGUACCAUAUGUUAUUUUUUAAUUACAACUAAAUAUACAUUGAAUAGAUGUUUGAAUUAAUGUUUUUUUUUUAAAAAAAAUUGUUCUGUUUAACCACGUUUGCAAAUAAUUACUUUAGAAAAGUAGUAUUUUUUUGGUCCAGAUAUUUCCAUGACAGAUACAUAGUCUUGUUAAGAUAUGCACGUCAAUGACAAAAUAUUCAAAAUUGACCCUUAAACCGUCGUCGGAAAAUCGAAACUUUUUAUAAUCCACUUUUGAUUACUAUAUUACUAAAAGCUUCCUUGUAUAUGAAAUGAAAUGAUCCAAUUAUGAAAGCAUUUACAGAUUGUAGAAGAUAACUAAACUACUUCACAUUGUCAAGUUCCAACUUCCAAGCCCGUUAUCAUAAAUUUGGGCCUGUUACUCUUCGGCCCAUAACGUCAAAGAAAUUGGCUUAUCCAGCCGACAUGGUAUCCAACCAACUGCUUAAGCCAGAAGUACUUAAUAUAUUGACUGUUGAGCUUAGAAACAAAAAAGAAGCACUUAAUAGAAGUUUAAAUUCAAAUUUAGAAAACAAUUAAAAAUAAAUAAUCUACUCUCUAGUCUCCAAUGUCACAUUACUAGUUUCUCUCUCUCUCCUCCUCCAAUGCUAGAGGAACUCAAUCACCUUCGACAAAAGGAAAAACCAACUCAUAGAUCUUUUUGUAUUUGUACAGAUACAUUUUAACAUGCUUAAAAACCGUUUAUUAAUACUUAUAUACUAUUGAAUAAAAUGAUGCAACAUGAAUCUCGACCCAUAUUCAUCCUCAUAAAUGACGUCAACACACACAGUGACACAGAAAUAUGUUAUUUUCUUUUUUGCCUUAAAAGUGGAAACCAAAAUAUCUUAAUGGCGGUAAAUCCAGUCCAGACAGAGGAAUACGUUACCAGCCUGAUCCGAUGAAAAGACGAUUUUGCCCCUGAACACGAAUUCUGUUAAGCUAGUCACCGGUCUAUUGAAACUGUCAUAUGGACUACUAAAUGUAUAAAAAGAUGCAAGACGUGUGUGUCCCCAUUCACUUUUAUAUACUAAUUCACAGCAUAUCCACAAUUUGAUCUGUCACACUUCAUUUAAUGUUAAAGAUGAACAGAAGCUGCAGGAGGUUUCCAAUACCGUAAGCAAACUAGGAAAAAAUAAAAAUUAAAAAAAUUGGGAUAUUAUCUUUCUAGAAGAAUUUUUAACAAGUAUAAAUAUACGCUAUGCAUGUUGCAUACUCUUUAGUAGUAGUACUAAAUAAACAAAGAGCAAAGAAAGAAAGAAAAUCAUUUUAAGCAAACAAACAAAUAAUGGAGGAAACGAAUAAGAGUUUGCUUGAUGAUUCUUUUACAAGUGCAAUGACACUUACCAAUUCAGGUGUGCCUCAAGUCCCUGAUCGUUACGUUCUUCCCCCUUCGCAAAGGCCAGCUCUUGGUUCAAGCUUAGGCACCACUGAGACAACACUUCCUGUCAUUGAUCUCUCUCUUCUAAACCAACCUCUGCUUAGAUCCCGCGCAAUCCACGAGAUUAGCAUGGCCUGCAAGGAGUUUGGUUUCUUUCAGGUAAAUAAGUCAUGCUUUAUCAAAAAUCCAGCAAGUUUGGUGUUUAUUUCGUGAAAAUUAUUCCUCACUUUCAUCAAAAUUCAGUCCAAUCACAUCUACCAAUCACACUUCGGAUAUGACUUGGAAAGUCGGCUUUUGUUUCCUUGCAUUUAUGUCAUAGGAAUAAAGCCCCUGAUCAGGGCAAACAAUAAAAGAAAAGACAAAAUCCUCAAUCUUAGUCUUAAAUGAGAACACAAGUUGCAUGCAUGCAUGUUUUCUCUACUCUGUACAAAACUAAGAGAUAAAGGCCCUAACUUUUACUUCCCUACAGGUUAGAAACCAUGGAAUACCAUCAUCAGUGGUUAAAGAUGCCUUUGAUGCAGCAACACAGUUCUUUGACUUACCUGUGGAGGAGAAGAUGCUUCUGGUGUCUGCAAAUGUUCAUGAGCCAGUAAGGUAUGGCACAAGCCUUAACCAUUCCACAGACAGAGUUCACUACUGGAGAGAUUUCAUCAAGCAUUACUCUCAUCCACUCUCAAAGUGGAUCAAUAUGUGGCCAUCAAAUCCUCCAUGCUACAAGUAAGUAAAACAUACUUUUAGGCCAGCUUCAGUAUCUCAAAAUUUACAAAAGCUAGCUCUCUUUGGAAAGAGUUGUAAGAAAUCUUUGAGUGAAAACUGAUAUUAUUUUCUGAUUUACUCCUUCCUUUCAGGGAUAAAGUGGGCAAGUAUGCAGAGGCAACACAUGUGCUACAUAAGCAAUUAAUAGAAGCUAUCUCAGAAAGCCUGGGACUGGAGAAAAAUUACUUACAAGAAGAGAUUGAAGGAGGCUCACAAGUCAUGGCAGUGAACUGUUAUCCAGCAUGUCCGGAACCUGAAAUCGCCUUGGGAAUGCCACCACACUCAGACUUCAGCUCACUGACCAUAUUACUUCAAAGUAGCCAGGGACUCCAGAUAAUGGACUGCAACAAAAACUGGGUUUGUGUGCCGUAUAUCGAAGGAGCUUUGAUAGUUCAGCUGGGAGAUCAGGUAGAAGUGAUGAGCAACGGCAUAUACAAGAGCGUCAUUCAUCGUGUAACAGUGAACAAAGAUGUCAAAAGGCUAUCUUUUGCAAGUCUUCACAGUCUACCUCUGCACAAGAAAAUAAGUCCAGCACCGAAACUCGUCAACGCAAACAAUACACCUGCCUACGGAGAGUUUAGUUUCAACGAUUUUCUUGACUACAUCUCAAGCAACGAUUUUAUACAAGAAAGAUUCAUUGAUACAAUAAAGAAGAGCAGUUCCUGAAGAUGAUGGCAAAGAAUGCCACAGAAUUCAACAAGGCAAUUUGCAUGGCUCAGUCUUUUGAAUUAAGUUUACGAUUAUGGAUAUUGUAGUCCUUAUCUGCAUCCCUGAUGUAUCUACUCUAUGUAACAUUAUGAAAAUUAUAACGAAACAGCAACCAAGUAAAUGUUGUGCAUGUAAACAGAUAACCCCAUUGUUUAUAUCACAGAAAAAGCUUAAUGUAAUGUCAUAAAAAAAUACUCUUUCUCUUUACCCAAGCAGUGAUUCUAAUAUAUAUCCAAUUCUUAAAGGAUCUCUGUUUCUUUUGGGUUUAUAAAAGAUUUAGAAGCACAAGUAGUUCAUAAUUUGAGCUUAAGACGUAACUGUGUUUGAUUAAUGUAAGCAGCAUCAACAAAGUGCUUAUAUGAAUCACUAGAAACCAUUAUUGAAACACAUGGAUAAACCACAAAUCUACAAUUGGUAUUAUCAAAAUUGAGACAAAAUACGCGAAAUUUUCACCAGUAUAUUCGAAUUCUCACUAACCAUAAACAACUUGAACGCUUUAGGAAUUCAAUUAUCAAUUGUCGAUCAAACCAAUCAUCCAAAGUCUAUCGAAUUUCUUAAAGCAUGAUGGGAUCGAUACUUACAAAAGAUCCUCCGGAGACUAAUCAACGUCGCGCGUCAUUUUCCGUUAAGCUCUCUAACUACGGCCGCCUUGGCCUCUCGAUUCCGGCGGCUACUUCUCGUCGCCAAGGAGCUCUUCUUUUUUUUUUUCCCCCCCGGUAUUAUCGAGUAAUUUCUUUUUAACCGUACUUACUUUAUCAUUUACCGUAGCUUUUUUUGUCGGCUAUCUCUUUUACUUUACCACAACUAGUCUUUUUUUACCCGAACCACGAAUAAUUUUGCUGAACAUCUAUAAUUAACUGUAAUCUGUUGUCAAAAAAAAUACUAUACUUUAUCAUUACGAAUAAGUUUCGAACGAUAAUAUUCUUUACCUUACACUAAGAUAUCAACGGCCUAUUUGCAGUAGAAAAAUUGGCUUCAACAUAUAGACAACAUUGUUAAAAGUAAAUAAAAAUUACAGUCGUCAUAAUUAAUAACACUGGUGUUGUAUAAUCAAUCUCUCGACGAUGGGAUAAAUCAAGCCUUUUUUCUAAAUUUGGCUUACUUUAGAAGGUAGAAUCUCUGUGAUACAUUAAUGUGAAUAAGUGAUAAAUCAAGCGUGUAUAAAAAAAUUUUUUGGCUUAACUUAUAUAACAAUAAGUCAAUAACUCUGAUCACUUGGGCUUGCAAAUAUGUUACUGCAUGAAAAUCUAUUAAUAUUAAUUCACACACUGCGUGUAGUAAGAAGUCAAAAACAACCAAAUUAACCAUAUAUAAUUAGCUGUUAAGUUUUCCUUCUCAAAAUCAGUUUUUUUGGCAAAGACUAUAAUAUAAAUACAAGAGAAUUCAUAAACUAAAACAUCUACGAUGAGGGGAAAACAUUAUACUAAAAUAUGUUAUUCCAAAUUCCGAAAACAAAUUACAACCUUAAUAACAUUCUUGCAUUUUAAAUCCACACUCAGUCUAAAACAAAAAUACUGAUUAAAAGUUUAAAACACUUUGCAAAACAUAAAAAUCACAUGUAGAACAUAAAAUCAUUUUGGCAUAAUUAAAAGAAGGAUCACAGAAAAACAAAAGAAGGAUACAUAUGCAUUUUCUUAACAAAUCAAUAUUAACUAACUUCAAUGAACCCCAAUAUACAUAAACAAAAAUUGGCAAAAAAAUAGCCAUUGCUCAAACUGCAAAUGCCAUAUACCAUUUUUUUUGCAAUAUCAGAUUUCACUUUUUGAAAAAAAAUAUUAAGAUAAUAUAUAUACACAUAAAUCCUUCCUUCUCUGAAACCCAUUUACUUAAUUAGAAGUUAGAACAUCAGUGAAAAUAUCGACCAUUUAUCUAAAGUUGGCUUACCUUGGUCUGAUCUCUUGGUUUUGCAAUGUAACUACAUGCAAGAAUAUCAAUUCACACACGGCGUGUAGAACGAAAAACAAAAUUUUGACCAUAAUUAGCUGUUAUAUUGCGUUAUCGAAAUCAGUUUACGGCGAAGACUAAACUAAAUACGAGACGAUUUCUAAACUAAAAAAUUUAGGACAAGGGGAGAAAAAGGAAAUUAAAAUCUGUAGUUCCAAAUUACGCAAAAAAAAAUUAAAACCCUUAAACUCCUUGCAUUUAAAAUGUACUAAAACAAAACUAUUGCUUUUUCACUUUGCAAAACAUAAAUAUCACGUAGAACAUAAAAUCAUAUUCGCGUAAAAAAAAGAUCAUAUUUAAAAGGAGGAACAUUAAAAGAAAAAUAACAAAUUAAAAGGAUGAAGUUUGUUGAAGCUAAGAUGCGAAAUCUCCAGCUCGGACGCAUUUGAGCAAGAGCAAUGUCUAAGUACGUACCUACAUGCAUUCAGUGAAUAUAAAUAUAUAUAUAUAUAUAUAUACUAGCUAGUCUUGAUCAUCAAUUUUCAAGAUAUAUGAAUAAUAUAUAAGAGCAAGGAAAUCAGCAGGCGUGCAUGAAAUCAGCAGGCGUGCAUGAAACUAUCUCGGUUUCAACGGCGCAUGAGUACACAAGUUGAACAAAAUCAGCUCAUGUUAUAUAUCAUGAAUGCGUUUUGGCAACAUUAUGCGUCAUUCCACCAAUAGAGUUGUUAUAAGCAUAAAAGGUCAAACAAAUUUUUUAAAGAACUUUUUGUAUUCGUAUGGUUUUUAUUUAUAGUUUAGCCCAUUUGCCACGGGGAAUCUGGUUCCAUACUUGCAUUAUAGUAUAUUUUAUGAUCUUUUAUACACACAAAACCGGAUAAAGAUUUCACAACUUGUAUCGCUUUUAUUUACUUACUUUGUUUGUUUCUGUACAUAAGAAAAAAUAGCUCCAAUUAAACUACUUUACAUAACUAUUAAUUACAUCCUACUUCACAUGUUAUAUUGUUAAUCCGAUAUACAAAGAAAUAAUUUUCAAAAACACGCUAGACACUAAGCGGGCAGUGAAGUGUCUAACGCGUAGAACGUCUAAUCGGAGUCUAAGCGAUUUUUUAGACGGUUUAGACGUUUAAUUAUAAUAUAAAACAUUAUAAAUAUGAUAUUAUAUAUAAAAGUUAUAUAAAAUAUCUAUAUAAAACAAAAAUUAUGAAAUUAUAAAUAAAAACUGGACAAAACAUUUAUUUAUAUUUAUAUUAAACUAUAUAUAAAUAAAACUCUAAUUGAAAUUAAAAAAAAAAUAUUAAACAAAAUCUAUGUAAUUUUAAACGGUCAAGAUGAUUAUCUAAAUGUCGCAUGAGAAUCUAGCGUCUAGUCGGAUCUAAACAACUGCCAAAAGACGGUUCAGGGGAGACGUAAGAGACAGCACAAGUUUUGUCUAUUUGGGUAAAAAAAUUAUAUAAAUACAAUUUAUGUCGUUUUGUAGACAGAACUUUAUAACAUGCAAAAGUGAGUAUUUAAUGUUUUUGACAUAGGCACCGCAUGUAGUAGAUUCUAUUUAUUUUGCUUUGUUUUAGAAUCUUUCCAAACAAGAAACAACGUACGAUACGAUGGUUUUGCGAAUACCACUGUCCAGGCAAGUACAACGGUCGUCAAACUUUUAACUAUACGGAGUAUCAUAAAUAAAAGUUAGCAAUUCAAUGGUCAGAGAAUAUUACUCAUUGUGCGAUCAAAUUCUUUGAACUCUGCUUUAUUUCCGAGUUCCUAAAAGUAAAAUCCUUAUCCACUUUGUUUCAUAACGACAAGAACGCAAGACAACGCGCCAUUUUAUUUUAUUGUUUUGUGUAGGUGAAGGAUUUUACACUAAUCUUUUGAAAUAUGUGAAAAAUUCAAAUUAAAUUAUUAACACGUUUAUGAAGAUGAAAUUGAAACGUAAUAAAUAAAUUGAAAGGAAUCAAACUCUACUAUAAACUCUUCAAAUAGCUUUCCAAUGAUUUUUCAGCAAAAAUAAAUUCUUAAUGAGGGUUAUCAUGAAAUGAUCCAUAUACAAGCUUUUUUUUUUGUUAAAACGGUUUUGGGUUUUCAUUAACUAAAAGACUAAAUGUUUAUGAAAAAGUGCUAACAAUAUUAUAAGUUUUCAAACGUUGCAAAUUUGCAUAUGAAAACGUUGGUGGUCAUGAGUGUAAACGCAUAUUUGUGGCUAAGUCUAUGUGUUCGAGUACGUAUAUGUUCGAGUCUGAGUAUGUAUGAGGAUAAAGUAAACGACACAAAGAGUUUGUUAACGGGGUUCGGUUUUUCCUACAUCCCCGGGACCUAGUCCAGAACAAAUCCACUAGAACAAGAUUGCAAUUACAAUUGAAUAUGAUAUCGAGCACUACUAUGCCUAUCAUUCUUUUCUAGAUGAAUAAACCACCAAUAGAUCUUACAUCAUAUCUGGUGGGGCGACGCCACACACCUUGUGUGCAUCUCUCGAGAAUACCAUGAGGCGCGCAAGUCUUCAUGAAGCGCCCUCUUGGUAUUUAUAACAAUUGCUCAACCCUAGAGUUGACAAUUUUCCUAUUCUACACUAAUAGGAAUUUUCUAUUCUACACCAAAAUAGGAAUUGACAAAUUUCCUUUUUCUUUAUGGACAAGAAAACUUUGUCUUCACGUUCUCAUCUUGAAUAUACUAUUCAAGAUGUUUAUCCAGCUCAGCAGACAUCUCUUGGCUUGUCCAAGUCGUCCCCAAACUUAUGUACUCCAACUCUUCAAAGCAGUGUCACAACUCAGCUUCCUGUAUUAAUGUCGGAACUAGUUCAAGAACUAUGUCAGACGUCAGAUACAUCCUUUGAUAUAUCAGACUGCUGGUUUCUUGAUUCAACACCAUAUAUUCUCUGGUUUGUGUCAAUCACAGUCACUUCCUCAAUUCAUCAAUCUCAUAAUAUUUUAGAUGGAUUAUAAAACUCAGUCAACACAACAUCUUCAAUGAGAUGUAGUUUGUUAAUUUGAUCCUAUUUGAAACAAAAUCACAUUUAUGGUUACGGUCGAUUCGAGUAACUUCGGCCGACCCUCUUAUAUUGGUUCAGAUUACCCUUUUUUUUUUUUUUUUUUUUGUUAAAGUGGUUCAGGUUACUAUGGUUAACAAGAACAAAAGAAGUGUACAUUUAAAUAUUAGUCUAUACAUUUGACUUUUUGUAUCUAAAUGGUUCAUGAUAUCGUAAUAUUCGUAAAUACAGUGGCGCAUCCUGCAACGAAUCCACCGGUGUUUAUUUAUGAGCUUUUAAUCCACCGUUUGUUGUAACUUGUAACAAUUUUAAAUAAUAGUGAUAAUAAAUCGGUGCUCUUUUCAUACAUGGAUUCAAAUAGCCAGCUGUUACAACUUAUACGAUCGGCCGAGGGAAAAAACAUAUUUUGUUGAUUCAGUUGGGCUAAGAAAAAAUCAAGUGGGCUACAGAUAAUCGAUGGGAGCCCAAAAGCUUGUUCACCUUUUGUUUUCAGAGGGGGAUCCAAUUGAUUUCUCACCGGUAAAAUAUCCAAGAGAGAUGUAUUUAAUCAAAAACAAAUUACCAAGUUUUUAUUUUUGAAAUGUAAAAAAUUAAUUAAUUAACAAAAAAAAAGAUAGAUAUAAGAGUUUUGGUCUUUUGGACAUUUUUGAACAGAAAAAGGGGCAAGUCAAAGCAAGAAAUUACCGAUUCCAAAGAAGGAUUAUAUCAGUUUUGGAUUUCAGUAAACCAAGCCUUAAGCUAUUAAUCCAUUAUGCCUUCAUCUUCCAAAAGUUCACAAGCUAGCUUUGUUUGCCUAGGCAAUGGCAAAAUCAGCUGAGCAUCUAAAUCUUCUUACAUGGUAAUUAAUAAAUAAAGUUUGAUAUUAGAUUUCGCAUUAAACAGUUUGUAUUAAGAUUUUGGAUUAUUAUAGAUUCACCAAAACAGAGCUUUUUGUUUAAUGUAAUUUCCUCUAAAUUGCAAUUAAGUGUGAUGUAUACGUAUAUAAGUUAAUAAACAACCUAGGCCAAACUGCCAAAGUAUAUAAAAGAAAAUUGGAGGUUGCUUUUGCUUCACAAACAAACAAACUAACUUUGGCUAAGCUAUAUAUAUAUAUAUAUAUAUAUAGUGAAUGUAAUAAGUAGAAAUGUUAAGACAUUGGAAUAUAUAUGACUUAAUCUCACAAAUCAUAUAUAUAUAUAGUGAAUGUAAUAAGUAGAAAUGUUAAGACAUUGGAAUAUAUAUGACUUAAUCUCACAAAUCAUACAUCCUAAUAUCCUAUACUAUUUUUAAGAAUAUAUGACUUAAUCUCACAAAUCAUUUAUUUUUAUAGGAUGCAUGCAACAUCUGCUUAAAAUUAACAAAAUAAAUAAAAUAAAACUAGUAACCUUUAUCUCUUCUCAUAGUAAUUUCUUGCUAAUUUUCCUAACUGCUGAUUUUUUGCCGCAAAACAUAGAUAAAUCACUUAAAACAAAUUCAAUACAACGCGAAACCAAUACACUCAAAUUCUUUGUUUGGCCAUUAUUGAGUAAUGAGUUAUGAGAUUGAUUUGUAGUGGACGGUGGCUACAUUAAUUAUAUAGAACAAAAUAGUUCUAAUUGAAAAUUUAAGUACGAUUUGAAUGAUAAUUGAUGGACUUUGGUCAGAUACAAAAGACGGCUGGAUUUGGACCAGCUCUGUGGACUGAAGUGGUCAUAUAAUUGCAAUUCUGUUUAUUUAUUGAUUAACUAAUAAAUUCACAAAUGUGGGACUCAUACGGAUCCGUGGAAAGUAUAUUGUAAGGGCACACGCAGUAGUACAUGUUAGGCCUGGGCACUCGGUUUAAUCGGGUUAAACGGUUCGGUUUGUUCGGUUUGUUCGGUUUUCCGGUUUUUCGGUUUUUCAAAAAUCCUGCCGAAUUGAACCGAAUAAAAUUUCGGUUUAUUCGGUUCGGUUAUAGGCUAAAAAAUUAAUUCUGAAUUGAACUGAUUUUGUUUUUUUUUUCGGUUCAUUCGGUUAACCGAUAGUAAAUAAAAGCCAAUGAAAUUUUUUACAAACCAAUUCAUCAAGCCCAUAAGAACAAAUUACAAACCCAUGAUCAAAUUUACAAAAAAUUGGCCCAAACCCAUUAAAAAUAAGGUUUCGACAUUGUGAGAGAAGAGACGGUGAUGUACGGCCCUUUGAUCCCGUCCGACGAGACCUGUUACCAAGCAGCCGCAAAGAACAACAUCAUAAAACUGUAAUAACCGAGGAUACUAAAUUUUAAGCAACUAUACUUAAGAAGCGUAAAAAAGAAAAGAGUUAUCAGAAGGAGAAGGAUCGGCGACGUUGAAGUUUUCAUGUCGUUACUAAUUUUGUGAGUAUUUAGAGAAGAAAAUGAGAGAUGUGAAGCAGAUGUAUAAGGUUUCACUAGGGUAUGAGAGAGGUAGAAGGGAAAGUGGCUGCGAGAGAAACAUUGAAGAAACACAAUUUAGGUUUAGGUAAUUAUGUUUAGGUUUUUCUAUUUUAUGUAACAGAUCUUGGGCUGUAACAAAAUUUGGGCCUGCAAAUACAGUUUAACCCAUGUUACAUUUAACGCCAAAGAUAUGCCGAUUCUCGCUCCGGAAUCGGAAACGGAAGCGGAAUCGCCCGGAAUCGCUCGGAAGCGCCUCGGAAUCGCGAUUCCCAAAGUAAGUCAUUCAGAAUCGUGGUGGAAGCGUAAGGUUCCGAGUAGGAAUCGUCGUCGGAGAAGAUCGGAAGCGUCGCUGCGUUACUUUGAUUAUUGACAUUAUCACGUUAAAGAAGAUGACAAAGAGAAUUGGGCUUUUAAUUUGUUUUGUUUGUGGCCCAGUUUAGCCCAAUAUAUUAUAACUUAACUAACAAAGAAACUAUGAUUUUAGGAGAUGAAAAAAAAAAAAAAGCUUUGCUUCACUGUUUUAAACCUUUGUUGUACAUAAAAUAAUCUUUCCUCACGAUCGUAAUCUCUGUCAAAUAAUUUUUAGAUUUUGAAACUUAGUACUCAUCUAAUUUAUUUUAAUAUGAUUUUAUUUUUAGUAUUUUAUGAUAUAUAUAUAUAUAUAUAUAUACGCUUCCAACACGUACCCGCUUCCUAUUUUUUAAAAAAAAUUCGCUUCCCCGAUUCCAAACGCUUCCGCUUCCGCGUACCCGCUUCCGAUUCCAUGUAGCUUAGGUUUAACCCAUGUUACAUUUAACAUAUUUCCUAUUAAAUAAGCCCAAGGUAGCCUAGAUAUAUUAAACGCAUCUAAACCUAGCGUUUCGUUUAUUAUUUUUUCAGUCCUUCGUCUUUCUUCGAGCAUGUCCAUGGCGGCGGAUCUUCAACAUCCCCAACUCAUCCUCGUUUCCUUGGGAGUUCCAUGAAGCUUAUUCAAAGACAGGUGAUGGUGGGAGAGAACCGAAGAACCGUUCGGUUAGGUGAUGCCGAACCGAACCGAACCGGUAACCGAAUUCUCAAAAUAAUUUUGCCGAUCGGUUCAAGCCUCCUCUCACAGUCAGCGCCGAUAACCGAAAUAGUCGGUUCUUUCGGUUCGGUUUAAUCGGUUCUUACCGAAUGCCCAGGCCUAGUACAUGUGUGUCUUGGGUGUUAACAGUAUUAUAAUAUUAUACUCUCUCCGUUUUAGUUUAGUUGUCAUUUUAGGAUUUAAAUUUUGUUUCAUAAUAGUUGUCGUUUUUUCAAUGCAAAUGUUUGGUAAAAAUUCCAGUUUUAUCCCUACUGUUUUAAUGUUUUGGCCAAUGAAAUUUUUUAUAAAAUAUAUUAAUAAAAGAUAAAACAGAAAAUUUAAUGCUUUCUUAAUUUGUGUGAAAAAACUUUAAACGUUAACUAAAUCGAAACGGAAUGAGUAAUAAAGUAUUAUAAUAAAGUAAAGAAAGAGAGAAAUAGUGAGAGAUGAUAAUUUUGCCUGUCUCUGACCGAGUUUUUGCCUGUCUCUAUUCAGCGCUGGCCACGUGUCACUUACACCCCUUGGAAAAAAGUUGCAAGUUUACACCCGUUGCCUCUCUCCAACCUUGUUUUUCUAUUAUUUUUGUUUUUCUUAUUCCUUACACCCGGGUAAAAAGUGCCCCUGUGUAUGGUCUAAUACUUCAUCAACAUUUUAUAUAUACUACCAUUCUAGUUGCAUCAAAUAGAUUAAAUUAUUCCAUUCUAAUAUUUUAUAUUUUGAUGGCAUUAGAAUGAUAUUUGUAUAAAUUAAUACUAUUGAUAUAAUACAUUGUACGAAAAUUAUGUUGAUAUUGGAUGAAAUUUUGUUUAAUGGUAUAAUAUACUAGAUCUAACACUCUAAGUAGCAUUAAGGUUGAUAACGAUGAUAUUAUGUUUGUAAGAAGAUUUUGAUUUCGAUCGAUAAUAUUGAACAGAUUUUAUAUCCUUUAUAGUUCGCACUUUCCAUAAGAUAAUAGUGUUCUUGUUGUCUUCAUUUUCAUAUUUUUCUUGCAUUUAAUCAGCGAGUGUGAAUUGGUUUCCAUCAUCAAUCAACUAACAUAUCAUCAGCAUUUAUUACUUAAAAAUAUAUUCACAUAUAAGGAAAUUUUUUUGCAAUUAAUUGGCCUUACGUACAAAAGAAAAAAAAGAAUCAAGUAAUCAUUGGGAAUAAAGAAAAUUUUUAAAAAAUCAAAGGCAAUAAUUUAAGUGGUUGGUGAAACUGUGAAAGGAUAUAUAAAAAGAAAAUAGUCAACAAGAAAAAAAAAAUGAGGAAAGUGGACACUUUGUUUUUCAACAAUUCACCUUUCUUGCUUGUGUCUACUUGGGCAAAACUCUAUUAAUUAUUAAAUCAUCCAAGAAACACAAUCCCAAAGGAACUUUUUUCAAUGAUAAUUAUUUUUAGAUAUUCGGUUAAAGAUUUUCUACAAAACUUGAAAAUGUCUUGCAAGUAUCUUGGCAUUGUUCGUUCUGAAUGUAAAUGCAUUUUCAUUCGUUGAAGAUCUAACUAUCAAUGAUUGAGAAAUAAGGAAAGUGUAAUGAUUAGAAAGCUGAAUAUGUUUUUAGGCUUAGUUUUAUAAGGAGAGUAACGUAGAAAACUAAUUCAAGGCGUGACAGGGAAAAAAAGGCCCUAAAUUCAGAUUUUGUUUUCCUUUCAACCAUGUUAGUUUGUUAGAAACUUAUGUUUAGGUCUUAGUCUUACAAACGCACGAAAUUUGAUAACAUUAGACGUUUUAGAUAUUGUUGUACAAUUUACAAAAACUGCAACUAUUACUUUGUAAAGUAAAAUCCAAAAGAAUCAUUUACAAUUAAAAAAUUUCGAAAAAUUUUAAACUUGAGAUAGUACAAGAGAACUAUUGGGGCCAAUUGGGACAUGGGAGAAGAAGCUUCUUUAUUACCAAAUUAAGUAAAUAUCCCAAACAAUUCCAUUUUGCAUGUAAACUUAAUGUCACUAUUCCUUAAAUUAAUUACACAAAAUUUCAAUUUAUGUUAUGAUGAUUGUUUGAUAUUUUAUUCCCUCUUAGAUAUUAUAUUAAAGAUCUGCAUCUUGUGUUGAGUAAUUUUGUGUAUUGGCUUGAAUAUACUUCGAUUCUUAUCAGAACACAAAAGUAAGAAAAUUUCCAGGAUUGAAACAUUUAGUUAUGACUUAUUCGAGCCGCGCCGGAUACUGUUAGCUGGCUUUAGUUGAUUUUAAUAUUUUUAUUUAACAAACAAAUGAAAACACUCGUUAAGAAAGACUUCACUGUUAGCUACUGACAAUACAUUCAUUCGCUUGGGUUAUAUUACGCAUGUACGUAGUAAAUUAAUAUGAUAAAAUGUACAGAAUCGAGCCUAACAAACAGAGGACAUGACAUAAACUAUAGUUCUAAAUCUUUUUGCGCACCUUAUUACAGAGAAAGCUAAAAUUUGUUUAUAUAUUGAGACUAUAAACUAUAGAUAUAAAUUUAACUUGUCUCUCAAGAAUGCCAGCCUAAUUAAAUAAGUUGUUACUUACUCGUAAAUUGUUUUUGGUAAUAGGAGGGAUCCGGGUCGAAAACUCAUAUACUAACUAUAGAGCAUGAGAAACACCAUAUAUGAUAUAUUCUUGCUAUUAUUUUUGAUAUCAUAACAUACAGAGCCGUCCGGAGUUUCACGUGGCUACAAGCUGAGGAAAAAAAAGGGCCACAUUUUUUUUUUUUUAAUGAUUUUGUUAUUAAAAAAAUAAAAAAUAUGUUUAAAAUACACCUUCAGGACCCGAACCCGAGAAUUGUUGACUGCACCACUGAAUUAUAACCACUAGACCACAUGAACUUUUCCAUAAAUGUGACCGAAAAUUAAUGAUAUUAUUUAAUGGCCGCAAGCAUUUGCCUGCUUGGCCUUGUGGCCGGCUCUGAUAACAUAAUCAAUCUUGAACCACUAAAGACUACAAUGAAUUUGUUAAAGUGUUACUAAAUUAAAAAAAUUUGUUUUCUACUUCCUAAUGAUAUACAUAUAUUUUACGUAUUUAAAUUAUAAGAAAUUCAUAAUAAUAGUUUAUCGUAGGAGUUACUGGAUGGUAGAUACCACAUAUAUAUAUAUAUAUAUAUAUAUAUAUAUAUUAAGGUGAAAGAUUUGGUUAUACUAUACGAAAACCAACUGUAAACAAAAUCACCAAUUCCAAGAAAUCAACAUCGAUAAAAGUAUAAGUCAUCGCUAUCACUCCAUUCAUCUCUGUUCGCCUCCUUUAAAAUUCACCUCUUAGGUUUCUUUUGGUAUAGAAAAAAAAAAUACUCUUUAGUUUUUUCCGUAACAACGUGGACAAAUGGUCCCGAAAGAAGAAAAUGGCCAAUGUAAAUGACAUUGAAAUAGUCCCAUCGGAUAAAAGACUGAAGAAAUAAUAAUUAUAAAUAACUAAUUAAUGACUUUGUGGUGUUGUAGUAUUGUGUCCACAAAUAUAUGAAUGGUCACGUUGGUUUGAUAUAUCCAAAGUGAUGAAAUUUAAAUUGGGGAAUGUAAGUAAAGUACGUGUUAUAACCAAAAGACCUAAAGUGGUACAUGCAAUUUUUGUUUAUUACAAAAUAGGAAAUUUGUUCCCAAUCGGUUGGAACACCAAAUCACUUUAAUUGUUUAAGCAUUUUGGAUCGUAUCCCUAACGAAGAUAUUUUCCAUGCAUUCCAUGUGUAUCUCCUCCUCCUUAGUAUUUAAGUUUUAUCGUGUAAAUUGAAACUAUUUUCUUCAAGUUAGUUCCUAGUCUACAUAAUUCUUUUUUACUACAAAUGACAUAUAAUCUGUAAGGAUAUCGAGAAUCUAAAAGUGUUUUUAUUACUAGUGUCACACGUGGGUGACAUUUGAAACGCAUUUGAAACGAUGUAAUAUGCUUAGAAGUAUAUAGAGUUAAAACAGUCUUUCAGAAAUCACGAUGGUAACCACAUGGUGGUGGGCGAGUGGUUCUCGUUUGGUUGGAAGGAUCGCCCUGUUGGUCUAGGCCAGAGAUCGAUCCUCCCCAGACGCAGUUUCGCUCUCUCACUUCUGUGGCCACCUGGGAAUUUACCUGCGGACUUGCUCAGGCGCCCCAGACCACCAGUUUAUCAGAGGGCCCUUAAGUGGAGGCUUAAAAAUCCCUAUGACGCGGGCUUAGGCCCAGUGGACUAGUCAGAUCACUGUGUGGUCUGGAUACUGGGUUAUAAAAAAAAAAGAAAUCACGAUGGUUAUCAAUACAAUAAAAAGAAAAUAUUGCAAAACAGCUAAGACUCUAAUAGGCUUUGUAAAUGAAAAUGAGGCUAUAGGUUAUUAAAAAGCACGAGACUAAUAUAAAUAAAACAUGUGAUGUAAAUUUCAAAUAGUAAGUAACUCACGUUGCACUUCUUGUAUUCCUCGUUUUGCCCGAACAACACAUCACUCCAAUUUUUUAAUUGGACUUGUUCUGUAACCCGCGAUAUAGGCAAGUAAGUUAAUUUAGUGGUUGCAAUAUGAUUUCUCUGAUUCAGUUUAUCGAAAUAUAUUUUCGUUAAAUUAAUGGUUGCAAUAUGUUUUCUCUGAUUCAGUGUAUUGAAAUAUAUGGAAUUAAUUAAAUGUUUUUUGUAAAUUUUUUUGGUUGUGUAAUUUCCAAAACAACGUGUACUUAAUUAAGAUGAUGUGGUUUGUGAUCAACUCAACUGUGAUUUCGUAAGUUUAAUAAGUUGAUUACGAUCUCGAUUAACAUUUGCCAUUUUUGUGAUUAAGAAUGUGUAGUAUAGCUUUGAAUUAUGGCAAAAACAACGAGAUCUUUUUUUUAAAAAAAUGAAUCACAUUGUCCAAGGUUUUUUCUAUUAAUAUGAUGAAAAAACUUUACAACUCCUUAGACUUCUAUAUAAAUUUCAAAAAUCUGAUACAAUAUUUUUUUUUAUUAUUGCAGUAUAUUCCUCCAAAACACUAACCCGAACCACAUUUAACCUAAUUUGACUGCCUUAUUCGAAUGAGUCCGGCCUACAAUGGAUUCAUUCAACCCGUAAUAUUUCUCUGCUCAUUCAAAUAUAAUCAUUUAUACUCGAAUCCGACCAUAACUACAAGCACGCCAAUCUUAGGCUUGUGGCCGUUCACAGCUACAUAUAUUUAAGCAGCCGAUUUUGUUACAGUAAAUUCAUUAGUAAUUAUGCUGGUAAACGUGGAUGCUUCAAGGGUUGGGAUCGCCAGUUCAAUCCUCACAAAGAAAUUUUGUAUUUUUCUAUUAUUAAAUGAUAAUUAUUUGGUCAAAAAGAAAUAUGGUGCUUGUGGCCACCAAUUACUUAAGGACGGUUCUCUUUACAUUUACAUUUAAUAUUUAGAUUUUAAAUCGUCUUAUAAUAACAUAUAUAUAAAUUUGAAAAUUGAUCUUCUGAAAAUUAAACUUCUGAUAUUGUUAUAUGUUUCUUUUAUACGUAGACAUAAAAACUUGGCGUUAAUUUAUGUUUUAAAAAAAAACAUAUGCUAGAAGCCAGGCGUGGGAGUAUAGGAGGUAAAUUUCCUUCACAAUUGCGGCGAAUGGCUAAGCCGAAAGUACCAAAACCAGCCGAUAUGAGCCGAGCCGAGCUGAGCUGGUGAUUGUACCUCACGUGUCAAAGCCUCUCUGAGCCGUAUUGUUGGGAGAACUCCCACGUGUUCAGUCCCAUCGAAAGCGACGGUCCGAUAUUUAUAUACACACUCCUUUCUCGUCUCAUAUCAUCUCAGCCGUCCAUUGAUCUCUUGUAUCUCAUUAUCAUACAUUUACUUUUUUUUUUUUUUUUUUUGGUCACCAAUUCGGUUACUUUUCUUUAGUGAAUUGAUAUAAUUCACAUUAGAAAAGUAAUAACGCGAUGUUAAAAAAAAGAAGAACAAGUCAUAACGUAAAACCCAUUGGUGAUCUCAAAUGUUGAUUUCACAUUCUCUUUAUGGUGCAUGUUAGUUAAGUGGAAGAAAGAAAAAACAUAGCUUAUGUGUACCACAUACUAUAUACUUUGUCAAAGAUUGUACUCUCAUUCUUCAUUAAAUAAAAUAUACAAAACCCAGCUAUAUAUUGUUAGCUUUCUAAUAUAAUUUGGUAUAUUUAUUGCUUUUACAUAGACGAAAACUACAUGAAAUCUACACACACACAAACGAGUACCAAUGUAUAUGUGGGCGUUAGAUAUAAAUUCAUAUACUUAUGUAAGCAUUGUCCACAAUUUUCAGAGUCGAGUCCUUUCAUUAUCAACAAUCUCUUUAACUCCACUAUAGAUCCCAAUUUCCCUCACUAUAAAAGGAACCCAUUUCCUCUCUCUCUUCUUCACUUCAUCUUCUUACACCAAAUCUAUCUUCAACAAACUCCAUUCUCUAUAUAUAACUUUAAAAACUUUGAUUAAUCAGAUCAAAUAUUUCACAAGUUAAAAAACAAACACACUUUCUCAACAAUGAGACUCUCUCUUUCUCCCGUACGUCCGCAUAGUGUACUAGUACCUUCACUCCCAAAGCACGACGUCGUUUCUUAUAUAAAUGGUACGACGUCGAAUCGUCAAUGUCGAUGUGUACUUACUCUUCCUUCUCCUUCAGUUUCUACCUCCCGACCACCGGUUCUACCCAAACCGGAAACCUGGGAGAGUUUGCUACUAAACCAAGAUCAUAGUUCCGGCGAAUUCUCGCCCUCUGGUUCGAAUAACCCGGUUAAGCUUGGCCGGAGAUGGAUGGAGUACCAGGGGCUUCAAAAUUGGGAUGGUCUUUUAGACCCAUUGGACGAAAAUCUCCGGCGUGAGAUUCUCCGGUACGGUCAAUUCGUCGAAUCGGCUUAUCAAGCGUUUGAUUUCGAUCCUUCUUCUCCAACCUACGCGACAUGCCGGUUUCCGAGGAGCACUUUGUUAGACCGAUCCGGUUUACCUAAUUCCGGUUAUCGACUAACGAAGAACCUUCGUGCCACGUCAGGUAUUAACUUGCCACGUUGGAUUGAGAAAGCGCCAAGCUGGAUGGCUACACAAUCCAGCUGGAUUGGUUACGUGGCAGUUUGCCAAGACAAGGAAGAGAUCUCACGGCUUGGGCGUAGAGACGUCGUCAUCUCCUUCCGUGGAACCGCCACGUGUCUCGAAUGGUUAGAGAACCUUCGCGCCACGCUGACUCAUCUCCCUAAUGGGCCUACUGGACCAAAUCUAAACGGGUCUAACUCUGGGCCCAUGGUCGAGAGCGGGUUUUUAAGCUUGUACACUUCAGGGGUUCACAGUUUGAGAGACAUGGUCAGAGAAGAGAUCUCAAGGCUACUCCAAUCUUACGGCGACGAGCCGCUAAGUGUAACGAUAACAGGCCACAGCCUCGGAGCUGCGAUCGCGACACUAGCCGCGUAUGAUAUCAAAACGACGUUUAAACGUGCGCCGAUGGUUACCGUAAUAUCUUUUGGAGGUCCACGUGUCGGAAACAGAUGCUUUCGGAAACUCCUUGAGAAGCAAGGCACGAAGGUUCUAAGAAUCGUGAACUCCGACGACGUUAUCACCAAAGUUCCUGGAGUCGUUUUAGAAAACAGAGAGCAAGAGAACGUGAAGAUGUCGACGACUUCGAUAAUGCCGAGCUGGAUACAGAGACGCGUGGAGGAGACGCCGUGGGUUUACGCCGAGGUCGGUAAGGAGCUUAGGCUGAGCAGCCGUGACUCGCCGCACUUGAACAGCAUCAAUGUGGCUACGUGUCACGAGCUGAAAACGUAUUUACAUUUGGUAGACGGGUUUGUGAGCUCCACGUGUCCAUUCAGAGAGACGGCUCGGAGAGUUCUCCAUAGAUGAAGAUUCAUCUAACAUUCGUAACUAAUUUAACUUUGUGCAAAGAAACAGUAAACCAAGAAAGAAAAUCAUGAACCGGAAUGGUUUGAUAUAUUUGGUUAACAGAUUAAUUUCGUUACAUAUCUCUAACUUAGUGGUAGAAAAAGUAAGUAUAGAAGACAGCUCUAAAAGAGCGAAAAUGUAUUGAAGCUCGUAUAAUCUCAUAUAAUGUAUAUAUGCUUGUUUAAAAAAACAAAAAUUUGGGUGUGGUCAUGAAAUUUAGUCGCACGAGACGAGCGCAUGUGUGUUUCUAAACCUCCUAAAUUCCCAGUGUUCAAGAAAGCGCUAGGCGCUAAGCGGACGGUGAUCCAAUGCCUAGCGCCUAGAACGCCUAAUCGGGGUCUAGGCGAUUUUUUAGGCGGUUUAGACGUUUAUAACAUAAAAUAUUAUAAAUAUGAUAUUAUAUAUAAAAGUUAUAUAAAAUAUCUAUAUAAAACUAAAAAUUAUGAAAUUAUAAACAAAAAUUAGAUAAAACAUUUAUUUAUAUUUAUAUUAAACAAUAUAUGAAUAUUUAUAACUAUAUAUAUAAAUAAAACUCUAAUUAAAAUUGAAAAAAUACAUUAAACUGUGUUUUUAGGCGGUUAUCUAGGCGUCGCAUAAGAGCCUAGCGCCUAGUCGGGGCCUAGGCGACCGCCUAGACCGCUUUUUAGAACACUGUAAAUUCCUAAAGGCGUAAAUUGUCUUAACUUGUGAAAAGACAUAAAUAUCCCUAUCUCCGUCCAAAUUUGUGAAUACCCCCAGUGAUGGUGCCACGUAAGCACCGACCGUUUGAAGAAGUUGACUGGAAAUGUACUUUGCAAAAAAAAGCUUUGAAAGAUUCAGUUACUUGUGAAAUCUAAAAAUCCAAAAUCAAAAUGAGAACACGCAUCAUGCGCCGUCCAUUAUUUUACCGUAUAGUACUUAAUUUCUUCGUUACUGUGAAAACAACACCAUCGACGCGUUACUUUUUGCAAUAAAAAGCAUCAAGAUUUUUUGGUAUAAUUAGCAACAUUGUACAUUUCAUUAAAACAAAAGCAAAGGCUGCAAUAAUAAUACGCUCACGUUAUUGUGUUCAAUCUUAAUUAAUGGUUGAUAUUAAAAGUAAAAAAGGAUCGUGUUUAUGUGACUGGAGGGAGGGAACGAAUGUUAUAGUUGAAAUGUGUUACUUGUUUUAGUAUUGUCAAAACGAUGAAUUGUUCAUUUUAGUUCGACUUUUAUUGACAUUGAAGUAUAUUUUAUUUUAAGAUUCAUUUACUUAAAUGAGCUAAUUCAGUUUGAGUUUGAAUACACUUUUCUAUUAUAGAUACACAAAUUUUUUAUAGUAUUUGUUUGCACCCUGUUUAUUUCAAUAUCGAAUUAAUUUCAACAAGAAUAUCAUUUGAAGAUAUAGAAACUAACAACUGAUCUCAUAUGAGAAUAAUCACCAAUUCCUCUUUUGGAGCUUCAACUCUUACAUAAACUUCAUCAUAUGCUUUCUAUAUUAUGUCAAUACUAAUUAUACAUUAUGCAAUCAUACAUCAGAAAGUUCUAUUAAUCUAAGUCCUGAUUAAAUAGCUUCCGGUCAUGAAAAAAGUGAAUGGGUGAAGAUAGCCAUACAUUGGUUCGAAUAUAUAACAUGCAUGAUGAAAAGUAUGAUCAAGUGAGUAAUUUUAAACGCAGAUGAAAAUAACUUUCUACCGUCUUCAACGUUUCUUUUGUUCUUGUGCAAUUUUUUCUUUUUCUUUUUCUUUGUGCCCUCCCUCAUAUUUUGUGUGUGUUUCUAUCUCUUCUUGAAAAAUGAUUCAAUCACCCCCCAAUACCAAAAAACGAACAUAUAACUAUAAUUAUAUUUGACAAAUAGAUAUGUGAUUCUAAAUGAGAAUGAUUUUUAUUUUGGGGGCAAACAAUGAGAAUGCAUUAUGCCAUCUAAAUAACAUAUAACUAAAUACUGCGAUUGUUUGCCCAAAAAAAAAAAUAUCGAUCAUAUUAAAGAUAAUUUUGUUUGUGUUUAGGUUAAUUACUUAAUUAUAUAACGGACUAAUCAUAUAGUUUUCCGUUUAGUCAUUCAUCAUUCUGAGUAAGAAGAGAAAAACAAUUAAACAUAGAAGUUCACGAGCGUCACUAUUUUUGUGGGUGCCAUGAGAGGAAAAUAUAUGGCAUGCAAGAUCCAAGCCGUAUAUGUACAUAGGGACGUCGUAGUCUCAAAUAUAUAUGUACAAAAGUGACUAGAUCGCAUAACCGACCCAUUCCUAAAAUGUUAGCUUUGAAGAUAUACAUAGUUGUAGAAAGUGAGUGAUCAUCGUUACUUGUUACUUUGUUAGACCCACAUUAUUCCUCGUCCAAAAAUAUAUCAAUAUGGAGAUUGCCAAAAAGCCUAGAUGAUUCAAGCUUAUAUUAAAGGUUUUAGCUUAGAAAAGUCAAUAACGUAUAGUUAACUUUUUCCGUUUCCCGUUAUUGUGGAAACCUUAUCUACAGUACUUUGACUACAUUCUCCGACCACUUUUUAGUCUUUAAUACAAAUUUUUUUUGAAAAUUUAGUUUAUAGGUGUGACUUUUUUUUUUGACAGCAUUAUAGGUGUGACUUUUUUUUUUUGUUCGUUUGUGCAUUUGUUUCUAACAGUGUUCCAAAUAUACCAUCUAACAUAUAUAUUAGUAAUAAGAGUUCGUAUGUGCGCAGCAUUCCCUUGGACCUUUAAUAUUUAUGUGCGUUUUCUUGUUGAUAUUUCAAUUUUUCCCCUGUCUUUCUAUUUCGCAUUAAUAUCAUAAAUUCAUAAUGUAUACAUAGGUGACAUUUGUAUACAUAGGCACAUGUAUUGGUAUAUAAAAUCAGGACCGUCCUAAAAUUAUUUGUUACCCUAUAUAAUUUUUUUUUGUUAAAAUACCCUAUAUAUAUUAUGGUUUAUAAUCAUAAAUAAGAUUUUUUUUUUAAAACUCAAUCUAACUUGCGCUUGAUCUUGCUGUCUUCUACAAAAGUGAUAUCAUACCAAAAUUACAACAACAAAAAGAAUUAACGGUGACUAGUUCAAAAUAUUAAUCGAAAUCCAAUAAAUUAAUCAACUCCUUUUUAGUUUCACCUUUUACGUGAAUCAUGUGAUAUACUCAAUGCAUACAAAUGUCAGCUUAGAGAGAUUUCAGCCGACUUUUGAACAAGGACCAAAACAGCCUACGCCAUGCGGAGAACACGACAAUACGUAUUAUUGUUGAUGUGUAGAUAUUUAUUUCUUACUUUAAUUUUAGCCAUAAUUAUUCGUUGGCAGAAAAGAAAGAUUAGUUACAUAAUCUCUUCUAUUUAGAAUUUUUAAAAUCACUUCCUAAUUCAUUAACAAUUCCGAUAAAUCAUGACAAAUUGACAAUGGUAAUUUAUGUAAAUAAUAUAUUAUUGAGACAAGAUAUCUCAAUAUAAAUUGAAAAUUUCCCUAAAUAUACAUGAAUAAAUGAUGACGUAUAAUGGACAGUGUGAAAACAAAUAUAUUUGACAAAAUAUAUAAAUAAAGGAAAGGAAGAGGAAUGUGUGUGUGUGUAUGCCUUUAUGCCUCCUACAUCUCAACAUUGAGCAAAAUUGCGGCUGCCCAACAACCACUCAAAAGAGAAUUAUUAGUCAAAAUUAUCAAAAUCAAUGCAUGUCCUAAUCUCUCUCACCCAACUCUCACCUUCAUUUCAACUCCCAUGCAUAUUUUUGGUCAAUUAAUUUAUUAUUAUAAAACUAUGUACAAUGAAAACUGAAAAAGAAUUUGUUGCACAUAUUAUUAAAAUAAUGCACGUCGUAUGAAGAGUCAAUUUAUAAACUUUUACUUUUAGCUCAUAAUGAAUUUACAACUAUCUUAGAUGAUAAUCAACAUUAUAUUUACUCUAUUUCAAUUUACAAUAUGGAAUUUUGAACAAGUCCAUGUGAAGUUUCACGUACGUGGUGUGGAGUAACGCGAAGUUGGUCCAAAAGCAAAGAGACUUUAUAAAUUAAAUCUAGAAAACUAUUAAGAAGAGUGACGCAACGGUAUAUUUAUUUCCAUUCCACGUUCACAUUUCUUGGUUUUCUUUUACAUUUUAUUGUUUCUCUGGGUCAUAAACUAAAUUGACUAAUUAGCCAUCAAUCAUUUUUUCCUCAGUUUUUUCUCAACAAAUGUGAACGUUGUGUAUAAAGCUCUGUUUAGUGGUUGUUGCUCGAUUUUAUCCAAAUAUCACAGAACUGAGAAAUAACAAGCUAUCUGGUUAAAGUACAUAAUCUUCUGUACUGAACCGGCAAAUUCUUACUUAGAUUCUGUUUGAUAAAAUUUUAUAUUUUGGUCCAUUUAUAUAGUCACAUAAACAUAAUUAACUAGAUCUUGAACCUUAUAAUACAGAUUGAAGCGAAAGGAUUACAUAAAAGUAAAACUCUAAAGUAUCUAAUUCAGAGUCGCUGGUUUUUCUAGUGUUCAUCUCAUCGCUGAUUAUUGGUAGGGCUACUGAUUUUGUUCUUCAACAACAAUGGAGAAAAUAAAAAGCUUUUUUUGUUCUUUUAUCGUCCAAACUGGCUGCGUUCUGAAAACGAAUCUAUAAAAGUAGAUAUGGUUACAAAAAAAAUGAAACAGAGAGUCUUCUACUCUUUUUCAAGUUCGUACUUGAACAUUUCCGGCCGAAGUCCCACGGCGUGUGAACAGUAUACAUAAAAUUAAAUAUUUUAAUAGAUUUUUUCUAAAAAUUUUAGAAGUAGUCGUACGUGUAUAAGACAACAGCUGAUAACUCCCCAAUUUCCGACCAAUUCAUUGUAUCAUGUAUUCAUGCGUGUGUGUACCUUUCCCCAUCAAAAUUAACGAUUUAAAUAUAUAAAAAUAAGAAUAGGAAGACUACAAAAGAAAAAAAAAAAGAAGAAGAAGACCAAUGCAAUGUAUCAUAUGUGUGUAUUCAUUUCCCCAUCAAAAAUUCACGUAUAUUCUUUAUCAAAUAAAUAAACUAAAAUCAACUCAUAAUGAAUAGGAAAACAAAGACUUUAUAUUUGAUAAAUACUACUUCCUAGUUACUUCUCUCUUCUUUUUCAUGUAACACUGUAAGAGAACGAUAUGAAAAAAAUAUAGUGUAUCAAAAAAUUUGAAAAUAUAUAUUAAGAUAAAAUAAAUCAUUAAUAAGCUUCAAUGACGAGAGAGCUAAACCAUGGAAAAGAAAAGAUAAAAGGUAGGCCUGGGACUCUUGUGUAGAAAGGAAAAUCUGAUCUAGACUUUUCUCUCUCAGGCACGUCUCCCGAUGACUCCUCAAAGAAGUUAGGGUUUUCAAAUUUUCCAGAUCUCACCUACUUUAUUUAACCAAAUAUGGUAACUUUUCCCCUUUUCCUCCCCAUAAUGGCUUCUCCGGUGACCCCCUCGUCCUUUUCCGGUAGCAUUCCGGCCCGUCAGUGACUGCUUUCCGUCUCCCUUCGAGCCCCUCUCGAGGUUGGUGGUGACCAACCAUUUACUGCGGUGUGCAGCUCUUCGCCUCACUCCUCUUCUGAGUUACUCUCGGUCUUUCAGGUUUACUUAAAGCUCAUUCCUAGUCUUCCUCUACCCCGUCCAGCUACUCUCUUUUCUUGGGUCAUUCCUCACCCACUAUGGCAAGCCGCCUCACUAGAUCUGAGAAAGAAAAAUGGGUCGCCGGAACCCUUAAAAGCUCUCGCCGCCGGUCCCCUGUCCGCAUCCCCCAAUGCGAUACCUCUGCGCUCAUUGAGGAAAACAAGCUUACCCUUAUAGGGAGAGUCACUAACUCAACAGUUCAAAAGCCUAAAGCUGUUGUCAACUACAUGCCUCAACUCUGGAAUCUCGAGAGUAGAGUUGUCGGCAGAGACCUUGGUUCUGAAUGUUUUCAGUUUCGUUUUGAGAGUGAAGCGGACCUCCAGUCUGUUCUUCGAAGAGGUCCUUAUCAUUUUAAGAACUGGAUGCUCAUUCUACAACAAUGGGAACCCAUUAUCUCUGACACUUUUCCAGCCUUCAUCACCUUUUGGAUCAAAAUUCAUGGUAUCCCUCUCCAUUUCUGGUCGGACCAAACUAUUCGCACUAUCGGGAAGGAACUUGGUACUCUGGAGGCGAGAGAGGUCUUAGAAGGUCGUGUCCGAGUCCCUAUUAAUGGCCUAGCGGCUCUGGAAAUGUCCAUGCCUAUCCGGCUUCCUGAUGGUUCUAUCAAAACUGUGGAACUAGAGUACGAGAAGCUAGAGAAACAUUGUUUCAACUGCUUUGAACUCUCUCAUGAAAAAAAGGACUGCCCUCUUCCUUUAGUCUCUAGAUCUCUCGGCAUUAAUCAACUUAAGGCGGCUCAACGUAUGGAUUCUGAACGCAGGCGCCAAGAAGAGAGAAGAGAGGACAGGCCGCCUCCUAGGCCUCUACCUGUGGGAAGCCGGGAGAACAGAGCUGCUAGUGGGGGAAGAAACAGAGGCCUCUCUUCCCCUAGGUAUCCCUUAGCUAGAGAUACCAGACGCUUCUCUCCAUCCCGUGAUUCUGGAGCUACUCACUCACAAAGGAAUCCCUCUCGCUCCAGGAGGGACGAGGUAGUCAGGCAUCGUUCUCGUUCUCCUGACCGUCAUUACUCUGUUUCUAGAGAUUUUACUCUUCAAGGUCAUAGACGCCAAUCUCCAAGGGACAUUGGGAGCGCCUACUCUGCUGAUUUUAGGCCCCACCAUCCUAGAGGAAGGGAGACCUCAAGGUCUGAUUCACGGCGCAGUCCACCAAGGCUUAGCCCUAUUCAUCGCAGCCCUCCUCGGAAACCUGACUAUGAGGUUGUUGCUCGAUCCGGUAGAUCUCACUAUUCUCAAUCGCCUCCACCUUGCCCUCCCCUACCCUGCCCCCCAAGUCUUCCGCCUCCUAGGCCUGCAGGGUUGGAAAUUGGUGAACCUUCCAGUCUUCCCCAUUCAAGAAGACCUGCCUUGGAAAGAAUCUCCCCACGAAUCACUCAUACAGCCUCCCUCCUCACUACUUCCAGGUUUGGUUCAGGGCACCUCCAAGAUGUGGAAAUUCAAUAUGCGGGAGAUAAUACUCAAGAUCUCCCUGGUGAUGUACAGAAUUCUUCGCUGGUUCCUGGUGAUCUCAGAAUUCACACUUCCCUCAGAUUGGGACCAAUUCCUCCAGCUGCUCCCUCAAAACCCAAAGGAGCCCCAAGGAAAAAAGCUCCUACUACUACCAAACCUAAGACCUCAGGGAGGAGAAAACCAGCUAAGGCCUCCCCUAGGAGACGUGUUGUCCGCAGCCCUCUCCAAGGAGUUAGUCUGAAAAAGCGCACCGUCACUAGACCAAAUGCCAAGAAGAAGCUUAAUGUGGAUCCUCCUGCCAAUGAGGCAGAUUUACCUGAGCGUCAGGAUACAGUGGACCAUGGUCAAACAAGAGCUCCACCAAUUAACAUUAUCCCAGCUAUCACCAAGAGUACGGGGGAUUUUCGGAUCCCAUCAAACCCCCUUCCUUAGCUAUGGUGAGCUGGAACUGUCAAGGGAUAGGGAGCCCCUUGACAGUUCGUCGUCUUCGAGAAAUACGCUUCAGUAUUUUUCCAGACAUACUGUUCCUUACUGAGACCAAGAAUCAGGAUAGCAAGGUGCUAGAGGUAGUUAACUGGAUGGGUUAUACUCAUCAUUUCACUGUCCCUCCUUUGGGUUUAAGUGGAGGUUUGGCUUUAUUUUGGAAGGACGCAGUUAACCUGGAAAUCUUAGAAUCUUCUCCUAAUCUCAUCGAUACCCAAAUCAAGUGCAAGGAUCAGCUCCUCUUCAUCUCCUUUAUAUAUGGUCUCCCUCAAACAGAAAACAGAGCAGCAUUCUGGGAUUAUGUCUCCAAUCUCGGCUCUGAUCGCUCAACCCCAUGGCUACUCACUGGGGAUUUUAAUGAUACACUUGAUAAUUUCGAAAAGGUCGGAGGUCCUGCCCGAUGUGAAGGCUCCUUUAUCCCUUUCCGAUCCUUUGUGGCGCAGAAUGGCCUAUGGGAUGUUAAACACUCCGGGAAUCACUUCUCGUGGCGAGGCUGGCGGUAUGACCAUUUUAUUAAAUCUCGUUUGGAUCGGUCUCUGGCAAAUUGCGGCUGGUUUGAAGCGUAUCCUGCCGGUCGUUGUGAGUACCUUCGUUUCGAAGGGUCUGAUCAUCGACCCCUUGUUACGUUCUUGGAUGAUUGUAAGAGGAAGAACAAGGGCCUGUUUAGGUUUGAUCGGCGCCUUCGUAACAAUGAAGAAAUUCGAACCUUAGUGGGCCAAUCUUGGAGAAGCCCACAUGAAGAAUCUGUCUUGGAGAAAAUUAAUCGGUGCAGAGCCCAUAUUAUUAAGUGGACUAAGGCCCAAAAUGCAAACAGUAGCCGUUUAAUUAAGGAAGCCCAGGAAGCCCUCGAAGCUGCUCUCUCUUCUUCAACUCCUGAUCAGCCUUUCAUUACCUCAACCACAGCGAGCUUGGAAAAACUUUACAGAGAUGAAGAAUUGUUUUGGCGACAACGGAGCAGGAUUCAAUGGCUACAAAGUGGAGACCGUAACUCGGCUUACUUUCAUGCUGCAACAAGAGCAAGGCGAGUAAUUAACAAUGUCUCUGUAAUUGAAGAUGAGCAAGGAAAUGAAUAUCAUGAUGAAGACCAGAUUGCUAAUACCAUCUCCUGCUACUAUCAGUCCAUAUUCACAGCGGGACAACCCUCUACCAAUUCAGUUGUGGAGGAAGCUCUGGUUCCCAAGGUCUCGACUGAUAUGAACCGGCAACUUAUAUCCAUCCCUUCUCUUCUUGAAAUUAAGGAGGCAGUGUUCUCUAUUCAUCCAGAUAAAGCGCCUGGUCCGGAUGGUUUUUCUGCGGGUUUUUACCAGUCUUUCUGGGAUAUCAUUGGUUUAGAUGUUUCUCGAGAUAUAUGUCUUUUCUUCGAAUCAAGCUACCUUUCCCAGAGGCUUAAUGAAACUCACAUCCGUCUGAUACCUAAAGUUACUAGUCCAAGGAAAGUCUCCGACUACAGGCCUAUAGCUUUGUGCACAGUACACUACAAAAUCAUAGCUAAGAUCCUCACCAAAAGGCUGCAACCCAUGCUCUCUUCUCUCAUCUCCGUCAAUCAAUCUGCCUUUGUUCCUAACCGUGCUAUCUCUGACAACGUUUUAAUCACUCAUGAAAUCUUACAUUUCUUGCGCACUUCGGAAGCUAAGGUACGAUGCUCUAUGGCGGUUAAGACUGACAUGAGUAAGGCCUAUGAUCGAAUUGAGUGGCCUUUCUUAGAAGCAGUCCUCCGACGUCUUGGUUUUCAUGACAAAUGGACAUCUUGGAUCAUGGCAUGCGUAGGCUCUGUUUCUUACUCUUUCCUAGUUAAAGGUACUCCAAAAGGGCAAGUUUUUCCUUCCCGAGGCUUACGGCAAGGGGAUCCUCUUUCCCCUUAUCUUUUCAUCUUGUGUACCGAAGUGCUUUCGGGUCUUUGUCAUCGGGCGCAACUUCGUGGCCAAUUACCGGGUAUCAAAGUGGCUCGGGGUAGCCCUCCCAUCAACCACCUUCUCUUCGCCGAUGAUACGAUGUUCUUUUGUCGGUCUAACCCUAAAAGUUGCAACAAGCUAAUGGAAAUUAUCUCUCGCUAUGGAGAAGCAUCGGGCCAAGUCAUCAAUGUUACUAAAUCGGCCAUUACUUUCUCUGUUAAGACUCCUCCUUCAGUUAAAGAGGCUGCUAAAUCCAAGCUGGGUAUAGUUAAUGAGGGCGGAGUUGGAAAGUACCUAGGACUACCCGAACAUUUUGGUAGGCGAAAGAAGGAUAUCUUCACCUCUAUUGUCGAUAAGAUCCGCCAACGCUCUCACAGUUGGACCUCUCGCUUCCUCUCGGCUGCGGGAAAGCAAAUUCUCCUAAAGUCCGUCUUAGCAGCGAUGCCCCUCUACGCUAUGUCGUGCUUCAAACUUCCUCUCUCCCUUUGCAAAAGAAUUCAAUCCAUUCUUACUCGCUUUUGGUGGGAUGACAAACCAGAGAAGCGUAAGAUGAGUUGGGUUUCGUGGGACACGCUAACUCUUCCCAAAUCUGAAGGAGGCCUUGGUUUCAGAGAGAUUGCACAAUUUAAUGAUGCCCUCCUAGGACGCAUCAGCUGGAGAAUUCUGAACUGCCCUGAAUCCCUUCUCGCCAGGGUUUUGCUAGGGAAAUACUGCCAUGAGAAACCCUUCCUAGAGGUCUCUAUCUCCUCCUCCUGCUCUCACGGGUGGAGGAGUAUCAUGGCAGGAAGAGAGGUUCUUAGGAAAGGGUUAGGAUGGACAGUUGGGGAUGGCAACUCAAUAAACGUUUGGAAGGAUCCCUGGCUUUCUACUGCCCUGCCCCUUGUCCCUUUUGGUCCUCCUACUUUGGCUGCUCAUAACCUUAAGGUCAGCUCUCUUUUACUUCCAAGCUCCAACGAUUGGAAUACAAGAGCCAUUCGCCAUCAUCUUCCGCACUAUGAGAGCACCAUCCGCAAACUGAUCCCAAGCUCAAGUAAAAAGAAGGACUCCAUGGUUUGGUUACCCGAAAAAUCCGGCGCCUACUCAACUAAAACAGGAUAUGUCCUGUCCAAGCUUCACUCUCGAGCUCUGGGACCUGAGUCCUUCAAUUGGAAAUUAAAUAUCUGGCAAUUACGUCUUCCCCCAAAACUGAAAAUGUUCCUCUGGAAGAUUAAGCGCAGAGCACUCCCGGUUGGAGAUAACCUCGCUAUCCGCGGUAUCACCAGUGAUCUAUCAUGUAAAAGAUGUGGAGCUUUAGAAACAGAACUGCAUCUCCUCCUCUCAUGUCCUUUUGCCCAGAAGGUAUGGGAUUUAGCUCCUCUGCACCGGAAACCCAGGGAAGACCUUGUUGGUUCAGUUGCUCAACUGUUAGAGACGGCUCGGAUCUCCCAGUGCCUCCCUCCUAUAGGACUCUCUCACACCUCUCUGUUCCAUUGGAUCCUUUGGCAACUCUGGAAGUCACGAAAUCGACUAAUUUUUGAAAACCAGGCCUUCUCUGAAGCGGAAAUUUUAAAUAAGUCCAUUACUGCAGCAAAAGAAUGGCAACUUGCUCAACAAUUGCUCCAAGCGCCUUUGGGCAAUAAGUUCAAACACUUACCUCUUAUUGAGGCUGUUUCCACAACAUUACCUCUUAUUGAGGUUUCUUCUUCUCUGGUUCCUCUUACUGAGGUUUCUUCGCAAUUGGUCCCUCGUUCUGAGGUCGUCUUUUGCUUCACGGAUGCGGCUUGGAACGCUUCCUCUGGCUCCUGUGGUAUGGGAUGGAUUCUUAAGACUCGGGACCACCGGGUUAUCCAUCAGGGCUCGGCUACUCGCCUCCAUACUCCCUCCGCUUUAGCUUCCGAAGCUUUAGCUCUGAAAUCAGCGCUGACCGCAGCGUCUAGAAUGGAACUCACCUCCAUCAUCGUUUUUUCGGACUCUCAAGUCCUUAUAUCUCUGCUCAAUACAGAGACCACUUCGAACGAGCUGCAAGGAAUUCUUCACGAUAUUACCUUGCUUCGCUGUUCUUUUUUAUCCAUUAAGUUCUCCUUUGUUCCUCGCGAAGCUAACUUGUUAGCUGACGCGCUGGCCAAGUCCUCUUUAUCUGCUUUAUCUGCUUUGAACUCUCCUGCUAUGUAACGACACUUCUUUAUAAUGAAAGUUGGUUUGCCCAAAAAAAAAAAGGUAGGCCUGGGAAUUUGAACCGAACCGAUUUGUCCGAACCGAACCGAACCGAGGUUUGGGCAAAUCGGUUUGGUUCAAUUUAAUUGAGUUAAACCGAUCGAAAAGAUAUUAAUUUAGGUUCGGUUAACCGAGAAUUUCGGUUCGGUUCGCUUGAACCGAACGGUUAACCGAAAAACAAAAACCCUAACCUAAUAUUAACCCUAGCCGCUCUUCUUCUUCGUUUAGAGCUUUCUAUUCUUCUUCUUCUUUCUCUUUUUAGAUAGUUUCGUCAAUCAUCAAUCAUUCAUUAUCAUCAUAAUCUUAUUCUUCUUCAACUUCUCCUUCUUCUUAUGCUUCUUCUUCGAUCUAUUACCAACAUCUUCUUCUUCUUCUUCGAUCUAUUAUCAACAGCUUCUCUUCUCCUUCUUCUUAUGCUUCUUCUUCGAUCUAUUACCAACAUCUUCUUCUUCUUCUUCGAUCUAUUAUCAACAGCUUCUCUUCUUCUUCGAUUCAUCACCAACAGCUUAUCAUCAUCAUCAUCUUCUUCGCCUUUCAGAUCUAUACGCCCGCUCCGCCUUUCAGAACUCGCCGCCGGUGUCUCCAUUCGUCGGUUCGUCGGCCGUUGGUUGCUUCGUUGAAGACAAAAGCUUAUCUUUCUCUUUUUUUUUUUUUUUUUUUUUUUUGUUUCCAAUUAAGAUAAGCCUAGUUAGUUCAAAAAAUAAAAGACAAAGCCCACUUUUAAAAACAGUUUUGGCCCAAAACGAUUGAACCGAAUAACCGAAUUACAAAACCCUAAAUAACCGUGUCCGAACCGAACCGAAAUCUUAGUCGGUUAGUUUCGGAACAGCUUUCAAAUUCCGAAAUAACCGAAAAACCGAGAAACCGAACCCGAAUAAACCGACCGGUUCGAAUUCCCAGGCCUAAUAAAAGGUAUAAAAAACAUACAAUAAAACCUCUAUAAAUUAAUACUCUAUAAAUUAAUAAUCUCUCUAAAUUAAUAAAUUCUUCCGGUCCCGAGUUGGGACCAGUGUAAAAUAUGACAUAAAUCGAUAAAUUAAUAAGAUAAUAAUUUUUUUGAAAGUUUCAUGUAAAUAUAUGGUCCCAUUUAUAUCAUAAAUUAAUAAUUGUAUAAACUUAUAUAUAUAUAUUUAACUUAAUAUAUAUAUACAUAUAUAUAUGAUAUAAAUUUAUAUAUGUCAUAUAUGAAUUACUAUGAUAUAUAUUUAAAAUAUUCUAUGAAAAAAUUUAAUAAAAUAUGACUCUAUUAUUCGAAAAAAGUUUGUGUUGUUUUUUAAACGUAAUAAUUACUUUUCUACUUGUAAUUAGUUUUUAAAAGAUAUUGCUUAUAAAGAAAUUUUUUAUUUUUAGAUAGAAAUUUUUUAAGAAAUUACAAAAUUAGUAAAAUCUCUCUAUAAAUUAAUAAUUAUUAAGUUAUCGAUAAAUUAAUACCUCUCUAAAUUAAUAAAAUUUUCUGGUCCCAACUUUAUUAAUUUAUAGAGGUUUUACUGUAUAUAGUUGGAAAACGUUAUAGGAAAAGCCCAAAGUUUUAAGGGAAAGGCCCACCAAGCCCAAUAGAUUUUACUUCUGCCAAAAUAACAAAAAAAAAAUCAAAGAAGAACAAAGCCUUCCCUCUCCGCCAUUGAAACCCUAAACCCCUUAUCGAUUUUCACUGUUCAUCAAUCACUCUGCGCCACUCUCCCUAUCAAGCUUCUUCAAUUUUCCUCUGAGACCAGUCGUGAUUUUGCAGAGAUCCCUCAGGUUUUGGGUUCGUAUUCGAUCUCUAAAUUAUGUAACUCUUAGGAUGAUAUAGCUAUUAGUUACAUACCUAGAUUAGUCGGAAUCCGGAAUCGAAAUUCGAAUAGGAUGUUGUUAUAGGUCAACGAAUUUAAGAUAUAGAAAGCUCUUUGUCUAAGCCUCGCCUGAUUGUUUUGUCUCAGGAAGAUUCAAAAUCAGAAUGUAUAAUCGCAAGCCAAUGGAGAAGAAAAAGGAAGGCAUGGGUUCUGUUGAUCAAGACCUGAGCUUUAGGAAGAUAAUGAAGGAUGUUGAACUCUUUGGUAAACACUCUUUAUCUCUCUCCAUUUGAUCGCCAUUGUAUUGUGAUUAUGCAAGUUUUAUGUACUCUUCUUCAGCUGAACUUGUUCUUGUGUUAAGGCUCUUCGCAUAUGACAUGGAAGGAUAAGAAAGCAUUGGAGAACAAGAAGGUGACUGCACUCGGUGGAAAGGUGAGAUUUUUUUGCAGUAAUCGAAACCUUUUUUUCUCGGUGAAGAUUUUAUGCGGGUCGGUUCUUGAGAUUUUAUUUUGUUGUUUAUUGAAGCCUCAAAAGAUGCAUAGGCUACCUCUGAGUGUAGCUAGAGUGCAGAUGAAGAAACAGAAAGAUAGAGAAGAGAAGAUGUUAGAACAGGUGAUUUUUUAGGUCAUGAACCACUCUGUUCCUUUGCAACAACAACUAGUUUCUCAUCUGUUAUUGGGUGUUUUUUCAGAAUAUGAUUCUUGGCAGAUUUGGUGGGGGUGGAAGUAGUAGUAGGAAACCCGCAGAGAGAAAGCGUACCCCAGAAGAGAGAGUCUUGAAGUCAACUGUAGGGAUUUUCAAAGGCGGUGUUCUUGAUGUCAGGCAUUUGCUACAUUCUGGUUCUUCGAGUACUAAUGACAGAGAUUUCAAGAUGAAGAAACCCGGUAGGAUCGAGAAGAACUUGGGAGGAGGAGGUGAUGGAGGAGGAAUCAAGUCUAAGGGAAAGAAGAAAGGAGGCAAAAAGAAGAAUAAAGGAAAGAAGAAGAAAGGAGGCGGUAAAAAGAAAGGCAAGUAAUCGCGUUAGCUAGCUCUGUAACAAGUUUUGAAGCAAAGGUUUCAAGCAUCGCUGUAUACUUCACAAGGAUUAAUCUUGGAAUUGAACAUUACUGUGAAAGAGCUGAGUUUUGUUACAAACAUGAAAUGUUCUUUAGGCAGUAUCCUCUCUUAGGACGAGUCUGUUACAGCUAUUGAUCUGGUUAUGAUUGUUUUAUCUUCUUUAUGAGUUUUGUAGACAUUGUAAUUCUUUAUUAAUGUAGUCAAGAUCCGGAUCAAUGCAAGUUCGUUUACUAGGAUACUGAUUUCUUGGAUACCAGACUAAUAUUUGUGAUGAUAAUUACUUUAAGCUAGACUUAUACUUUAAGAGUAUGAUUGUGGACUUUGACCGAGUAGUGGGUGGAUAAUCUAUUAGAUCCUAAUAAGUGAUAUGUGAUUUCACCCAAUUCUCUAAACUAAAAGAAUCCUAAAAAGCUUUGCGAUUUAGGUCACAAAAGCGAGAAAUCACAUGCGGUUUUAUGUUUUUACUCACACUAAUUUAUAUUUUCAUGUCAAUAACGUUUUUGAAUUCUUACUUCUUUGGCCGGAAAGGCGAUUGAAACAGAUUACGAAUUAUAAAAAAAAAAAAAAAUCCUGCCGUUUUUGAUUUGGGCUCCUCAUCCACAUAUGAGUGCACCUUUCAAAAUAUAUCGUAUUCUUACAUCAAUAAUGAUUAUAGAUGAUUGAAAAUUUGAAAGUUGAAAGUCGUGGAUUAAUAUUACUCAACUAUUAUUGCUCUCGAUCCGAAUAGGAUUUUGUUUUCCAUGAAAUGGAUGUGAUAUUACGUGAAUGAGUGCUUUAUGUUGAUAGUGCCAAAAAUUCAUUGAUGUGAUAGAUUGUUACAACACUUUACUUCCUAGCUGGAAUCUGGACCCAUUUAGGCUAUUCUCUUUCUAUUUUUUUCUACCUUGCGGCUUCGCCGUCCAAUUCUUUCCACCUUGUACGUGUCCUAAAUUGUGACUUGUUGACAAAUUAGGGUGGUGAAGCUCUAGUCACUAUUAAAUAUUAAUACAUGUCUACCUCAAAACUCGAUUAGACAUGAGUAAAGUAGUUAAUGAUACUUACAUUACUAGUCACUAGAGAAGGUAAGCCUAUAUUCAAGCUUCUUUGUAUUCAUAUUACCGGCCACAACGUCAAAAAAGUGGUAAAUCAACUGCUAGAAAUGCAUAAUCUUUGCAAAUCUAAUUGAUUUUUGACAAACAUGUAAGUAGUGACAAGAGUGUAAUUAAUAACAAUGCACCUAGCUAGUCACCUACACACUUCAUUUUCUUGUUGAUAUUUAGUAAAUGGUUCCAGAAUGCACAGAGGGAAAUUACGGGCCUAAAUUAUAGAUGGGCUUGGUCCAAAUCAGGAAUAAAUGCAAUACUUGGGCCACUUUAAAUCCCGUUACCUGCCAAGUUCUAUUUAAAUUUAGAUGUUCUGGAUCUUUAAUCUAUUUGGUCCACAGUUUUUACAGAUUUUGAUGAUGAUGAUUAUGGCGUAUCAAUAAAACGUAAAUCAUCGAUGCCAAAUUGUAGAGUUACGUUAGACUCGAACCUAAAUAAAAUAGUGUUGAACUUAGUUCAUUCGAUAAGAAGGCGAUUGGUUACAAAACUCUGCACUAUUUAGCCAAAUUUUACAACACUAAUUCAUUCCAAACUAAUCAUAGCAUUAGACCAAUAAACCAUAGACUUAUUGAACUAAAUGGAGAAAUAUUCUGAAUAUGAAAAUAAAUGAUGUGAGUGAGGAGGAAAGAAUAAAGCAUAAUCUGAUGAGAAUGGAAUCACAAGAGACUCCAAAAUUUAAGAAUUGUGUGUUGCUUUAUCCCUUUUGUAUUGUUUCGAUACGUUUAUUUUGUGUUCAAAGUUUCAAACCCUUCUUUAUUUUCUUCUUCUUAGUGCUUUUGGAAAAGGAGAAGGCUCAGAUUCAAGCCCCACCUAUAAAGAUACCAUAUAGUUAGCACCCCACAUUCACACCCAUUAAUUCCACAUUGUAUCCAACUAAUACACCCACAUAAAAUUUAAUAUCAUUACCUACGGGAUUGGUAUAUAGCAAAUGGUUUACCAUUUGAAAAAGAAACUUGUAUAAUUUGGAGAUUAUGCCAUAACUUUAAAAUGAAAAUCGAUAUGAUUAAUCAAUGGUUGACAAAGAAGAUAUAUAUGAUUAAUCAAUGUUCAUACAAAACUGCAUGCGUUUUAGAGAAAUAUCUUUCUUUUUUUUUUUUUAAAAUUUUUUUUUUUUUUAGAGAAAUGUCUAUAUACUGCAUGUGUCUAAUUAAGACUGAUGAAUCUAAAGAAACCAUCAUUUUUACAUAGAUUUAUAUAGAACCAAUAUUUUAAAAAGAUAGCUAGUUAUAACAAAAUUACGUACACAAGUAAUAACAAUUAACCUUAAAUAUUACAUAUAUACGAGUUACAUUUUGAAUAAACUCAUGGGAUUUUUUAUAACUCAAUGAAUACUGUCAGAGACGAGAUUUCAUUUAGAACUACAGGAUUUGAUCGAUACUAUACAUAUUUCUAAGGACAUUAAAAUUUGUCUUAAGCGAUUCCAAAAACAAGAAAAAGAAAAGUAAAAAAAGGACGAGACACUGCAUGUGUUUUGGACCGUUUGGUUAGAGAGUGAUAAAGAUAAAACUGUCCCAAACAUAGAUCCCCUCAAUCCACGCGCAAUCCCACCUGAUCCGUAUUACCCAUUUUACCCUCGUCUCGAAAGCCUUGCAACGUCUCACUGUGAAGGUUAUUUCCGUAUUUUACUCGACAACUCUCUCU